GCGGGACGCGGGGGUCACAGAGGGUAGGUGGGGCGGGGGAAGGGCGGGAAAGGGAUCGCAAGUCUGGCGCUCCGGGGGCGCGCCAGGGAGUGGCGUCCGCCUCUCCCCUCUCCCACCCCAAGGGUCUCUUGGUGCCUGUGGUUGAAACCAACAUCUUGACAAAGAGAAGGUGCGGCUGCCUUCACCGCUCUGCGUGGGGAAGGGGCUGUCAAGACUCCCGCUGCCCGGACUUUACUAGCUGAGUCAGAAUUGAGUUGAGGAACUACUCCAAAGCCGUCCUCCUGGUUUUAAGGAAAAGGAAAAAGCUUCAGUUGGCCCAUUUUCGGAGCCUGCAGGCAGGCCUCUCCCUACUGUGGAACUGUUGAAGCUCUCCCUUCUUGCUUACCCUAGAAGGGUUGGGAUUUUUUUCUCAUUUUCUUGAAAGGCUUGCAAAUGUCACCUGUUUUUGUUUAUCUCUCUCCUGUUAAAAGUCAGACGCGUUGCUGCCGGACUAAAUUUAGAUACUAACCAGCCCGUGUUCUUUUCGUAGGGUGUCAAAUAGGACAGGAAACACAUAGCUUCACUGGAAUUUGAAAAGGGAAGUAGUAGGAUGAUGUCAACAGAGAUUAGCUUGACCCUACAAGGCUGACUCCUGUGGUGAUUAAAGGUCCAGACCAUAGAAGGAAGUGAGAGGGCUGGUAAAUGGAGAAGUCCCAUUGAAGGAAUUGAGACAUCACUACCUGCCAUUUCCCCUGGUUUAGUCUUUCUUCCCUUUGGCCUUUUUUCUCUUUGGUAAAUCAGAUUUUCAGGGAAAGGAGACCUGGACACUGACCUGUGAACAUUUUAGAGGAAUUACUGUAUCCUGUGAAUCUGUUCUUUGAGAUCUGUAUCUUUAAGAAAGCCUUAAAAAUGUAAUUGGCGGAGGGUGGGCACCUGGGUGGCUCAGUUAGUUAAGUCUCUGACUCUUGAUUUUGGCUCGGGUCUUGAUCUCAGGGUUGUGAGAUGGAACCCUGGUGGGCACUCUGUGCUGGUAGUAGAGUCUGCUUAAGAUUCGCUCGCAUCUUUCUCUGCCCCUUCCCUGUGCUCGUGUGCUCGCUCUCUCUCAACAAAACAAAACAAAGAGCCCCACAUUUAACUCAGGUUUAGGGAUAAAUUUUUAAAUCUAUGAAUGUUAAGUUACUGUGAUAGUCCUACAUAAUCUUGCUAGUUCAAAUGAAAUGCUACCAUACUCCAAAAGUCUGUGUACACCAUCUGCCAGCCAAAUCCAAAAUUUGUGCUUCAAUCUGGUGACUCUCAGAAGAUGCAAAGCAAAUAGUUAACAUUUUAUGUAUCAUAUCACAGGUUUUGUGGUCUCGUCCCAUUCCCUUUCCCCCCUUUUUUCCACUAUGGCUGGUGAAAAUCUGCAGCACCAUGCUUUGCCAAGAACAUAUAGUCUUAAACCAGCAGGCUUCAUCUUUGUCAAGCCAGCCCCAAAUUUCCUUCAGUGCAUCUGCAGUCCUUCUGCGGUUUGGUGCCCAGUUUGCUGCCCCAUGCCCAUUGUGCAGUACAGUUACCACAUUCUCAAGACAUGUCUGCCAUCCUUGCUACUCUUCUAUGGUUCCACCCAGUGAAUUACCAGUUGACCUGAGCCUCUGUACUAGUGAACCCCCUGCUGAAGUAAGUAAACAUGAGGCAUGGCAUUUAAGUGUCAAUAGCUAAAUAUUUCAACCUUAAGAAGAGUUCAGAAAUUAUUCCUAAGUACACAACAGGAAAUUUGUAUGUUUUGCACUACUAUGAAUGACAUUAUAGGAUAAUAUUUCACUGUUACUUUUACCAAAGAGGUUGUUACAAACCACCUUUAUUCAAAUUGUGAUCAUGUUCACCUUACUAAUAAACUAGCUUCUGUUAGAAAUAACAAUGUUAUUUUUUUUUCAAGGGCACAUUUUUACAAAUUUGUGAGUAAAUAGUCACCAUUAUAGAAGUUUAUGUACAACGGUGAACUGAACUGAAAGAUAUAAAGAAAUUUAGAAGAUGAUGGGAAAGUAUUCUGAGGUUAGGAAUUACUGACCUGCCUACCCUGUCUUAUAUAAGUUUUCUUAUAACUUAUAAGUUUUCUGUGUGUUCUACUUUCCUUGGUCUGGUCAAGAAAUAUCUUUAUUUGAAGUACCACAGAUGCUUCAAACUUACUAUGGCCAAAAAUGACUUCUCUUGCCCUUGCCCAUUCCACAUCCGUAAUCCAUAUGGAUCUUCUUCUUUGUUUAUUUUCAGGAAUGGUCUUACCACCUGCCUAGAAAUCCAGGUCAGAAAACUAUGACUCAUUCUUAGCUCUGCUUCUCUUAUUUCUCUUAUCUAGCCUAAUCUAGUUGUAUCCUUCAAACCCAUUUGUUCUCCAACAUCACUUCUAUUGCCUUAGUUCUAGCCUUUAUGAUUUAUUACCACUUCCCCAUGUAGACUGUUCUAAUAACUUCUUAGCUGAUUUCUGUCUCUCAUACCUCAACUCUCCAAUCCAGAUCUUUCCAAACCUAAAAUGUAUUCAUCUUUUCUUUGCAUUAAAACCCUUUAAUAGCACCCCCAAGCACUACUCUAGAGGAUAAAAUCUAGGAUUCUCAACUUGGCAUAUAAAGCCCAUCAUGAUCUAGCCCCUACCUAACUAUAGUUUGUUGAACCUCAUCCUUCCCCAUUUCCCACAUGCACUCCAGCCAGUAUCACAUGACUGGCUGUACCUGGGUAUGCCAUGCUCCUUCGCACCCUUUUAAGUAGUCAGUGGUUUCCUGCUGUUACUCGUGUAGUUAUCUUAUACAGUCUCCUACUAAUUAUUUUUGUAAUUGUUUUAUUGUGCUAGCAUGAGGCACAGAGAUAUCUUCUUGCUUAUGUUAUGGCUGAUGCAAAAUAGACACACAGUAGAAUGCUGGUUGAAUGAACGAAUGAAUGAAAACACUUUGAAGUCACCCAUUUGGAAACACCACUCCAAACUUCUCAUUUGAUAAAACCUGCCUACUUUUUCACACUUACAACAUGUCCAUUCCAUAAGUAUCCACCUGGAGGACCAUCCUUAUUUCAGUAACUUAUUAAUUCAUUUACAAAAAUAAAAGUAUUGAACACCCACUAUGGGUCAGGCACUGCUCUAGGUGCUGAAUACUGUUGUAACAGUGAGUUCAUCAGUCCUUUGGGAACUAAUAAGCUCUUAACUUUGAUCAUCAACUUGAAGGCCUAUGUGCUUUAAUUACAAAUGAACAAAAACAAAAACAGAAGUAAGGAAAAAUUUGAAUAGCACAUGAUAUUUCCUAGGUUCGCAAGUUAAGAAGUAUGCCUUCUAUGUGUUUGUAACACUUAUAAAUUUUUCAUUUCUCAUUACUAUAACACUGAAAAGGAUUGUACUGUUUAAUAAUGGGAGGGGGGAACAAGUUUUAGAAGUUAAGUGCUUAUAUAAUUUUUCUCUAUUGCUUAAAAAAAAAAAAUUAAGAAUUCCAGAAUCCCUCAGAUAAUGAAGUAGCAGAAGCGAGAUUUAAAAACUCAUUUUUCAGUUUCUUUGUCUAGACCUGUUCACCAAGCAACUGCCCAUAAAGAUUAAAUUUAUUCAACAAAUUCUUCUUGCCUGCAUACUCUAUGUUAGGUAUUGCUAGGUAUUAAAACAUAAUAAUGUAUGAGACCAACAUGCUCUCUGUUCCUAGAGUCUUACAUAUUUUCAGUGGCAAUAGAGGAGAAAAUAAAUCAAGUGAAGAAAACUUGAAUCUUGAGGAUGUCUAAACUUCAAAUUAAGACAGUAAGAAAGAAAAAGAAUUUGGAAGAGAGGAUUAAUUUUUUUUUAACGUUUAUUUAUUUUUGAGACAGAGAGAGACAGAGCAUGAACGGGGGAGGGUCAGGGAGAGAGGGAGACAUAGAAUCUGAAACAGGCUCCAGGCUCUGAGCAGUCAGCACAGAGCCCGAUGCGGGGCUUGAACUCACGGACUGUGAGAUCAUGACCUGAGCCGAAGUUGAACGCUUAACCGACUGAGCCACCCAGGCGCCCAGAGAGAGAGGGGAUUAAUUAACCACAAUUUUUACCUCUUAUUACUUCACUUAAGCUCAUUCUCAAAGGCAAAGAGUCUACCACUUUACUCUAUUCCCACUCUUCUUGGACAUUAGAGUCUAUAAUUUAGAUUUAUAAUAUAAACUAUAAUCUUUUGAUAUUCUGUAAAUUAAGCCAAUAUGAACAGCUUGGCAACCCCUUUCUUCCUCACCUUUCUAUGUUUAUACUUCCUGAUGCUGCCAAAUGAAUUAAAGAUCAUAAUCUUUAAAAGGUAAGGAAUUGUCUUUGAGUGUAUGUGAGUUCUCUUGCUAAAACUUCCAUGCAAGUACUCCACUUCCAACUGUGUGACCCUUAUUCAGGCUCUCAGCAUACAUACUUGUGAUAAUAAUGGUAAUGUAACUUUGUUGGUUACUUAGCAUGUGCCAAGCACAUUAUCCAGUUGAACGCUAAAACAACUUCAUGACCUUAAGUGGCAGGUGUCUUCACCAAAGUCUGUUUCCUCUUCUCCUGAGCACACACAUUGUAUUUCCCAGACUCCUUUGUAAUUAUUUGGGGUCAUGUGACUGAUUUCUGUCCAGUAGAAUGUGAACAGAAAAGAUGAAAGCCAUUUAAGGUUUGGUCCACAAAAUCUCUAGCACAUCCUACACAUGCUCCAUGUUCUCUUUCUUUCUGUGUUUAUCAGGAAAUGAAAACUUCAAAGAAUUUACAGGAGGGGCACCUGCAUGUUUCAGUUGGUUAAGUGUCCAGCUCUUGAUUUCACCUCAAGUCAUGAUCUCACAGUUUGUGAGAUCAAGCCCCAUGUCGGGCUCUGCACUGACAGCGUGGAGCCUGCUUGGGAUUCUCUCUUUCUCCUCUCUCUCUGCCCAUCCCUUGCUUGUACUCUCUCUCUCUCUCUCUUUCAAAAUAAAUAAAUAAACUUAAAAAAAUUUUUCAGAGGACGCCAAAACCACAAAACAUGAAAAGCCUGGGGCCCCCAAAUUAAUCCUUGCAGAAAUGUCCUCCAGGAGAACAGCAUGGUGAGGAGCACCUGUGUUGGAUUUUCCUUGUUUUAUUAAAUUAUGCCUGUGAAAUUAUGAUGCUGUGUUUUACAGUAAUUAGCUACCCUGCCUAAUAUACUUUUCUCUCCAUUUCACUGAUGAAGAGAUUGAGACAAUGGAAAAAUUAAGUAACUUGCUUAAAUUUGCUUAGCUAUUAGAUGGGGAAACUAGGAGUAGAUCUCAGGUCUGUCUGACUUUAGAGUUUGAGCUGUCACUGCUUAAGUUUCUCAUUAUACUAUUUCAUGUAUUUCUAAAAAUUUCAUAAGUUUCAUAUGGCCUUUAGUACACACUGCUUCACCUAGCAUGCUGAAAUGACAGUAAUAUCAGGGUGACCUCCAGGUUCUCUCAUAUAUAUAAGGCUCUCUUACUUUUUUUUUAAUUUUUAUUUAUUUUCGAGAGAGAGAGAAAGAUAAUGAGGGAGGGGCAGAGAGAGAGAGGGAGACACAGAAUCUGAAACAAGCUCCAGGCUCUAAGCUCUCAGCACAGCCUGAUGCAGGGCUCGAACUCAGGAAGGGCGAGAUCAUAACCUAGGCCAGAGUCGGACACUUAACCAAUUGAGCCACCCAGGUCCCCCUCUUACUUUCUUUAACUCAUUCCUACCACACUUUUCUUUCUUUUGAAUAUAUUAAUUUUAUAAUUUCAGUAUAUCUUACAGUGUAUUUGGAUCCUAUAUGCCUGUUGAAAAAUGACAUGUAGAUUAGUUUUUAAGUACCAUUCUUCCCUUUGAAAGGAAGAUUUACUACCCCUUGACCAUGAAUCAUCACCAAUAACUAAUUAUGAAACAGAAUAAAAAUAUGAUACCUGAGCUGUUAAGAUAUCUGAGGCCCAUUUUCUGUAAUCUAAAGAGGCUAAAUCAAGUACAAAUAUACUAGAACAUGCAACACUGAGUUAAAAUAAGAAUAGAGUUUUAAUGUUAAUGUUAUAUACUUAUUUAGAGAGAAAGAGAAAGAGAGUGGGGGAAGGGCAGAGAGAAGGAGAGAGAGAAUCCCAAGCAGGCUCCGCACUGUCAGCAUGGAGCGCAUCGUGUUGCUCAAACUCACAAACUGCAAGAUCAUGACUUGAGCCGAAAUCAAGAUCACUUAGCUGACUGAGCCACCCAGGCGCCCCUAAUGUUAAUGUUAAAAUUAGGCUAUCGAAUUUUGGCUGAUAUGUAUCAAUAACAUGAAGGAGAUUUAAUUAAUUCAUUUAACGCAAUGGGGGAAGUACUGGAGUAAUGCAGUCAGACACACUUAGGUUCAAAACUCAACAAGUUAUUCAGUUUCCUCAUAUAUAAAACAAGGAUAAUAGUACACGUGUUGUGGAUUUCUUACCAGGAUUAAAAUAAUGUACAUAAAAAACUAAUACAAUGUUUGACACACAGUUGUCACUCGAUAAAUAAAAUCAUACAACAAACCUUUAUUCAGAAUUCACUCUGGGCAAAGCAUUCUGCUAGAUUUCCAGGAUACAGAGAUCAAUCAGACAAAAUAUUAACGAAUGUAUUAAGUAAUGUGAUAGAGAUAUGCAUACAGUGCUAUAAGAAUAGAGAAAAAGGACACCUAGUUCUUCCUGGAGGGAUCAGCAAGGUUUCUCAGGGGCAGUGACACAUAUGCUGAGUCUUGAAGGAUAAUUAGGAAUUGUGAGGGAACCAUGGGACACCUGAGUGGCUUAGUCGGAGGAGCAUUCAACUCUUGCUCUCAGGGUCAUGAGUUCGAGCCCCACGUUGGGUGUAGAGGUUACUUUAAAUAACUUUUAAAAAAUGAAUUGUGAGGGAAUCAGGGAGAAGUUAUUGUAGACAGAGGAAAACCGCAUAUGCAAAAGAAGCAGCAAAUAGUUUUAUAUGACUGAAACAUAUUACGUGUGAGCUUUUUAUUUGCUCAUAAGAUCAGCAGGUAGUUGUUGAACACCUAUAUAUGCCAGAUAGCAUGCUAAGUCCUGAAAACACAUCAGUGAACCAAAGAGAAAAGUCUUUGUCUUCUUGAAUGGUGCGUACAUUCAAGAGGGGCAUGUAACUAACAGAUAAAUAGGAAGAGGGGCGCCUGGGUGGCGCAGUCGGUUGGGCGUCCGACUUCAGCCAGGUCACGAUCUCGCAGUCCGUGAGUUCGAGCCCCGCGUCGGGCUCUGGGCUGAUGGCUCAGAGCCUGGAGCCUGUUUCCGGUUCUGUGUCUCCCUCUCUCUCUGCCCCUCCCCCAUUCAUGCUCUGUCUCUCUCUGUCCAAAAAUAAAUAAACGUUGAAAAAAAAAAAAAAGCAGAUAAAUAGGAAGAAAAAUUAAGCAGGGUAAAAGAAUCAAGAAUGACAGAGAACUUUAGAUUAGAUGAAGGGAAAGCCUUUCUAAGGAGGUGGCAUGUGACUUAAGUGGAUUGUGGGAGUCAGCAAUGCAAAUAUUGGGGAGAAUCAUUUUGCAGAAAAGGAACAAUAGGUACAAUGGCUCUCAGACAAGAACAAGAUUAACUUGUUUGCAGAACAACACAGCCAGUGUAGCCAAAGAAAGAGUGAAGAAGGGAAAAGAGAAUUAGGAGGUUAUCUCAGAGAUAUGACCAGAUCAUGAGGGGCAUAUUGAGGACUCUUAAAUAAUAUCUAGAGGUAGAUAACCCAUGAAAAUGGACAGCUAGCCUUAGAUCCUUGGAACAAGCUGAUGACUGCCUGAAGUAGGGUGUUUCCCACCAAGACCUCUGGAACUAGACCCCACUGAUUGCCAUGUUCUUCAUAUGCAUAUCCCCUUGGCUUUUCAUCUUUAUCCUCUUGGCUAUUCCCCCUCUUUUGGAUUAAGGUCCUAAAUUAUUAUGGAUACCUUUUUUUUUUUUCUUUCUUUUUCUUUUUUUUUUUUAGUAAAUACAUAUUAUUCCCAAGACCUGUAUCCUUGAAAACUACCAGAUACAGGAUUAAUUCUUCAUUCACUGGUAAGGUUGAACAAAACCUACCCAAAUUAAAGGAAAAAAGAAACUUGAUUGUAUAAGGAAGAUUAUGUCACAUGUCCAAUUUUUUUAAAUUUAUUUUGAGUAUAGUUAAUGUGCAGUGUUAUAUUAGUUUCAGGUGUAACAAUAUAGGGAUAUAACAGUUCUGUACUUGUCCAAUUUUUAAAAUCUAGGAAUAUAGCUUUGAAAUGCCUUGCAAACUCUAAUCAUUUUUGUCUUAGUGUCUGUCUGCAUUGCAGUUACCAGAUGUAUGAUCUUCAGAGUCUUAAAUGCUGCUGCACAGCUACUGCUACAUUUGAUGAUUUACAAAUGAUCAUCCAACAAAAAGAACAAGAAGGCGUGAUAUUUACAGAGGUUAAUAUGACUACCAUGAAAAACUCAAUACAUAACUACAAAUUAUUAAAUAGCAGUGCAGAUCUGAUCACGUUCUCUGAAAAAUAAUGGCCUUUCUUCUAACUUAGGCUAAAGAAUGACUAAGAGAAUGGGGACUGAGAAAUGAAGCAAAAACUAAAUCAACUAUGCUAUUGAUAUGCCACACAAACAAUUCUAGCUCCUGUUUUAACACCAAUUUGUGUAGACUCCUAUGUUACAAGACCACAAACUGAUUUAACUGUAACUCUGAGCAGACUCAAAUGUUCUAGUAAUUCACUCAGUUUACAAAUUCUAAUCAGUCCCUGCCGAAGCUAAUAAUAUCUACUAUAAAGGCACCCUAUGAUUAAUAGCAGUCCCCUCUCAAAUUCCUGUAUCUUUCCCUAACUACUCCCUUUUGAGACAUUAUUGAGACUAGGUUACUGUGAUUCUUCCUCUUACCAGCAACUUUAACAAAUCCAGAUUUUUAUCAUCUAUAGGGUUCCAAUAGUGCUAUGUUUAGGUCUCAGUCUCUGGGUGAGCCUGUGGCCAUGGACUGUGAACUUUACCAGUGCUUCUCAGUUUUUGUUUUUGUUUUUUAUUGAAGUGUAGUUGAUACAUAAUUUUACAUUAGUUACUAUGUACUAUGUGUACAACAUAGUGAUGCUACAACUCUAUCAUGCUAUGCUCACCACAAAUACAGCUACUAUUUGUCACCAUAUAGUAUUAUUACAUCACCAUUCACUGUAUUCCCUAUGCAGUACCUUUUAUCCCCAUGACUUACACAUUCCAUUAUUGGAAAUCCAGUACUUCUGAUUCCCCUUCAUCCAUUUUGCACAUCCCCCCACACUCCUGCCCUCAGGCAACCACCAGUUUAUUCUCUGUAUAUAUGGGUCUCUUUCUUCUUUUGUUUAUUUGUUCAUUUGUUUUAUUUUUUAGAUUCCACAUAUAAGUCAAAUCAUACGGCAUUUGUCUUUCUCUGACUUAUUUCACUUGGCAAUAUACCUUCUAGGUCUAUCUAUGUCAUCACAAAUGGCACAAUCUCAUUCUUUUUUAUGCCUGAGUAAUAUUCUAUUGGGUACAUAUAUAUGUAUAUAGAUAUAGAUGUAUAAAUGUGUAAAUAUAUAUAUAUACAUAUAUAUACAUACAUAUGUGGUGUAUAUACAUAUAUGUAUAUGUGGUAUAUAUACAUACCACAUAUGUAUGUAUAUAUAUUUACAUACAUAUGUAUUUAAAUAUGUAUAUAUUUAUGUAUGUAUAUAUACGUAUAUAUGUGUAUAUAUACAUAUAUACAUACAUAUGUAUUAUAUAUACGUAUGUAUAUAUGUAUAUAUAUGUAUAUGUAUAUAUACACAUAUAUAUAUAUGUGUACCACAUCUUCUUUAUUCAUCUAUUGAUGUACACUUGAGUUGCUUCCACAUUUUGGCUAUUGUAAAUGAUGCUGCAAUAAACAUAGGAGUGCAUUUAUGUUUUCAAGGUAAUGUUUUCAUUUUCUUUGGGUAAAUACCUAGUAGUGAAAUUACUGGAUCAUGUGGUAUUUAUAUUUUUAAUUUUUUGAGGAACCUCCAUACUGUUUUUCCCAGUGGCUGCACCAGUUUACAUUCCCACCAACAGUGUAUGAGUAUUCCUUUUUCUCUACAUCCUCACUAACACGUGUUAUUCUUGUCUUUUUGAUACUAGCCAUUCUAACUGGUGCAAGGUGAUAUCUUGUGGUUUUGAUUUGCAUUUUCAUGAUGAUUAGUGAUGCCAAGCAUCUUUUCAUGUGUCUGUUGGUCUUCUUUGGAAAAGUGUCUACUCAGUACUCAGGUCCUCUGCCCAUCUUUUAACCAGCUUAUUUGUCUUUUUGGUUUUUUGUUUUUCGCAUUGAGUUGUAUAAGUUCUUUAUCUAUUAGAUUUUAAUCCCUUAUCAGAUUUAUCAUUCACAAAUAUCAUUUCCCAUUCAGUAGGUUGCUUCUUAGUUUUUUUCUUGCUUAGGCAGGACAGGGUAGACAGGUCUGGAGUUGUCUAUUUUUCUCCCACCAGAUACUUUAGCCUCUGAUAAAACUUCAGCAGAAUAGACUCAGGCAGAAUAGUUUCUAUUGAGGGUAGGCCAUGUUAAGAACAGAAUACUCUGGCAUAUAUUGAAAUGGUUCCUUUCCCCUCCUCCUGCUGGAAACACUAGGGGAAUUUUCUCUGGUAUUUACUGAGAGAGCUUGGUAGAGUUCCCAUAGGUAGAGCUAACAAAAGUGUGGGAACCUCCCCCAUACCUUGUCUGCACUGAGCCUCCAGCAAUUUGUCAAUCACAGUUUAGGUUUCCCCACCCUGGGACAGUUCUGGUGGUGGUUUCUGCUUGUACAUUCUGCCAUUUUAAGCUGUGAUUCUCAGUGUUCACCUAUUUCUCCAGUAUAGGGAAGAACAGUGAUUUGCCCUGUGACCUCACUUCUUUGACAACUAAGAAGAGUUGACUUUCAGUUUGCAUAGCUUUCUACUUGUUCUUAUGUUGGAGUGGUGAUAAGGGACAAGAAAUCAGAAGACUGGACAUACUGAUUUCGGGUGCCCAUGAGACACCAAAAUGGAGCUGUCUAGUGUACCAAAGAAUAUAAUAUGGCUUCGGUAAGCUAGAGAUACAGAUCCAAAUGAUAUGAGUGUACAAGUAGUUGGCAAAUCUUGGAGUAUAUGAAGUUAAAUUGGGAGUUAGCUCCCAGGAGUGAAACAGAAUCCUGGGGAAUUCCAACAUUAAAGAGGCAGCAUACAAUUUUAUUUAUUUUUUUAUUUUUUAAAUGUUUCUGCUUUAUUUUUGAGAGAGAGAGAGAGAGACAGAGAGAGAGAAUCUGAAGCAGGCUCCAGGUUCUGAGCUGUCAGCACAGAGCCCAAUGUGGGGCUUGAACUCACGAACUGUGAGAUCAUGACCUGAGCCGAAGUCAGAUGCUUAACUGACUGAGCCACCCACGUGCCCCAAAGAGGCAGCAUAUAAUUUUAAAGGAGCACUGAAGAUAUAGUCACUCUCUGAUAAAACUAAAUUUUCACAGGUACCUUGUUAUUACUCAUAUAAAUUUAUCAAAGUUCAUUACCUAUUAUUCUUUUCCACCCACACCUCCCACACCCCAAUUAAGUAAAGCAAUUAUAUUACAUAAUCUGCUCAUCCUGGGACAAUUGUUAACAUGGAGGCUUUUCAAAAUUAAAAUAUUUCAAACUACCUUUUAAAUAAGGUUCUAUAGAUUGGUCUAUAAAUCUUCUUCUGUUUAAAAAAUACCAUUUUAAAGGAAAGAUAUUUUAUUCCAGUAGGCAGUCCAGAGAAAGUUUCUGAGUACCAAAUUCUAAGUCUCCAAAAGUAGGAUUAAAAUUUUAGAUACUGAAAGAUUCCAGGAAACGGUUGCAUUUCUGCAUGCUACAGUAAAAUGAAGGCAGGAGGGACACAUCUGCCAAACUUUAUAUUAUAAUUAAAUCACUUUGUACUGACAUAGCUUUACUUUAGAGGAGAAUGUUUGCGGCGAUUUUUAAUCAGAUAAAAAUAGGGCUGCUGUUUUCUCUAUACCAAUUAACAUAGUUGACAUUUAGCCAGAUCUGCCCUGGACACAGCAGGGGAUGUACAGUUUGUCCUGAUUCUGUGGGAAAUGAAAAAUGCAGUACUUGGCACAAGAAAAAAUAUGUGAACCCAAAAAAUGUUGUCAAAUAUAGAAGUCAAAUUAAGAAAAUUGAUUUACUGAAGGGCAGUCUAUGCUUUCUAGAGAACAAAGGAGAAGAAAGACUCUCUGGACUAUUCAACAACAUUAUGGACCUUGAGUUUAACUAUAAAUAUGAUAUGCCAGUGAAUAAAUAUAUCUGGUUAAAGAUAUUUUUCCACAACUCAAUUAAAUAUGCAAUUAUUACCGUGAGUUUCAGAAAGAAACUGCUCACAGCUCACAGAUAACAUAUAAAGACGUGUUAAAAAUAUUUGCACAGCAGGGGCGCCUGGGUGGCGCAGUCGGUUAAGCGUCCGACUUCAGCCAGGUCACGAUCUCGCGGUCCGUGAGUUCGAUACCCGUGUCGGGCCUGUUUCCGAUUCUGUGUUUCCCUCUCUCUCUGCCCCUCCCCCGUUCAUGCUCUGUCUCUCUCUGUCCCAAAAAUAAAUAAAAACGUGGAAAAAAAUUUAAAAAAAAAAAAUUUGCACAGGGGCGCCUGGGUGGCUCAGUGUGUUAAGCGUCUGACUUCAGCUCGCGUCAUGAUCUUGCAGUCCAUGGGUUUGAGCCCUGCGUGGGGCUCUGUGCUGACAGCUCAGAGCCUGGAGCCUGCUUCGGAUUCUUUGUCUCCCUCUCUCUCUGCCCCUCCCCCAUUCACCCUCUGUUUCUCUCUCUCUCAAAAAUAAACAAACACUUAAAAAAUUAUUUUUUUCACAUUAAGUCUGCUUAGAUAUCAUCUAGUCAAAUUCUUUCAUGUAUGGAUGAGGAAAAUUGUUCCCAAGGAUGUUAAAUUACUUCCAUAAGAUCACACUGAUGCAUUGCCCUCAUAGAUCCUUUGGUUCUCAAAAACUUUAUGGGAACGUCAAAGCUAUUGAAGCAUUUCAAAUUUAUCAGAGUGCCUGAAGAAUAGUUUAUUCUUGUUUAUUGAACUUAUGAUUAACUAAUGAUGUAAAAGAAAAGUGCCUUUAUAUUUAUAAUUUCUUAAAAAUUGAUCUAAGGUAGGGGCACUUGUGUGACUCAGUCGGCAGGGCAUCCAACUUCAGCUCAUGCCAUGAUCUCGUGGUUCGUGGGUUCAGGCCCCACAUUGGGCUCUGUGCUGACAGCUCAGGUCCUGAAGCCUGCUUCAGAUUCUGUGUUUCCCUCCCUCUUUGCCCCUCCCCUGCUCAUGCUCUGUCUCUCAAAGACUAAUAAACAUUUUAAAAAAUUAAAAAUAAAAUUGAUCUAAAGUAUUUUACUUCAUAGUUCGACCUUUAUAAGUAGUAGAAUGGAAACAUAAAAUCGCUGCUGUUGGAUAUUUACCCACAAAAACAGCAAAAUUCAUGUAUUUCAAACUAAAAUAUGAAGGUGAACUGAAUAUUUGAAUAACUUGUAAUAAUUCAAGUUCAUAACUGCAAAGAGCAUUUUAUAUACUUAGGGUUAUGGCUCCAAUACAGUAGUUCAGGUGACUGUGUAGAAAAUAUUUUGACUCCCUGUAUACCCUGAAAAAUUUGUGGCCUGUGCUAGCUAGCCUCCCAGAUGAACUUCACUGAUCCUCAUCUUCUGGUUUUUGUGCCAUUGUGGAGUCCCCUCUCACAAUGAAUAGGAAUGACCUGUGUAACCAGUACAAUAUUGGGGAAAUGAUGGUGUGUGACUUCUCAGGCUACUCUCUCUUGACUCUCUCACACUGGCAGAAGUCAGACACCAUGUUAUGAGAACACUCAAACAGUCCAUCGGAGAGGUCCACAUGGCAAAGAACUUAGGCCUUUUACCAGCAGCCUGCAUUAACUUGCCAGCCUUGUGAGUGGGCCAUCUUGGACACAGAUCCUCUAGCACCACAGCCAGGCCUUCAGAAGCCCUGACCAACAUCUUGAUUGCAACCUCAGGAGAGACCCUGAGCCAGAACUACUCAGCUAAUCUGUUCCCAAAUUCCUGACCCACAGAAACUGCAUGAGAUGUUGUUUUAAAGCCUCUAAAAUUUGGGAUAAUACAUAACUAUAUUGGACUUUUAAAAAAUAUAUAUGCCCUAUGUGUUAGUUUUCCUAGGGCUGCUCUAACAGAUUACCACAAAUCUGGUGGCUUAAAACAAGAGUUUAUUCUCUCACAGUUCUGGAGGCCAGAAGUCUGAAAUCACAGUGUUGGCAGGGCUGUACUCCCUCCAAAGGCUCUGAAGGGAGAAUCCUCCCUGUGUCUUUCAGCUUCUGGUGGCUCCAGGUGUUCCUUGGCUUGUGACUGCAUAACUCCAUUCUCUGCCUCCAUUUUCAGGUGACCUUCUCUUUUCCAUGUGUCUCUCCUUUAUGUGUCUCUAACAAGGACACUUAUCCUGGGUUUAGAACCUACUCAGAUAGUUGAGGAUGAUCUCAUGUCCAGAUCUUUAAUACAAUUACAUCUGCAAAGAGCUUUUUUCCAAAUAAGGUCAUAUUCACAGGUUCCAGGAUAUGGACAUAUCUCCGGUGGGGGUGGCGGGGGUCACCAUUCAUCCUACUACACACUAUAAGAGUUUAUAUAUAGUUUGAAUAUAUAAUUUACUUAAGUCUUACCUAAAAGAGUCAUGAAGGCAAACUAAUGAUAAGAUGGUAAUAAUAAGGGGGCACCUAGGUGGCUCAGUUGGUUAAGCAUCCAACUUCAGCUCAGAUCAGAUCUCUCGGUUCAUGGGUUGGAGCCCCACCUCGGGCUCUACACUGACAGCUCAGAACCUGGAGUUUGCUUCGAAUUCUGUGUCUCCUUAUCUCUGCCUCUCUCCUGCUGGCACUGUCCCCCCCCCCCCCCCCCCCCCCCCCCGCCUUCUCUCUCUCCCUCUUUCUCUUUCUCUCUCAAAAAUAAAUAUGAAAAAUAAAUAAAAAAUAAAAGAUGAUAAUAGUGGUAAUAAAAGACCUGGUUAAUUGAGUGCUCUAGUGGACGGGUUUGAUUACUCAAAGCUGCAUCAUAUCAUCUUUUUUAUGAACAGGAAUCAGGAGUCCUGGGAUCCAGCCUCCACUGGCUGUAUGGUCUUGCAGGAGACUUUACUUCUAUGAUCUUUCCUGGGGGGAGGAUCUCUUCCCUUAGCCUCUGUGUGCAGAGACAUCUACUAGAGUAGCACCUCUGGCCUGUCUUGGCUUCCUUACUCAUUCUCCCUAGUGACUUCAGGAAAAAGAAAUGAAUGUUCUUUGCCAGGACCAGGACUAGUAUAAGGUCACCAGGACUAGGGAGGCACCAGGGGCACAAAAUUUAAGAAGACCCUCACUCUCGUGGUGCCUGAGUGUGUCCAUCAGUUAAGCAUCCAACUUUGGCUCAGGUCAUGAUCUCAAGAUUUGUGAGUUCAAGCCCCACGUGGAGCUGUCUGCUGUCAGUGUGGAGCCUACUUCGAAUCCUCUGUCUCCCUCUCUCUCUGCCCCUGCCCCUUCCCUAAAAUAAUAAAUAAAUAAACAAACAAACAAAAAAAGAAGAUCCUCAUUCUCAGGGUCAUGAGGCAGACACAUUCCAGGUAUUACAUUAUGGGCCUCACUCCAGUGCCACUCGAAGAAGCUCUCCCUGCCAAAUGAUUCAAGAUCACAUCAAUCCUUCUCUACUUUGAUGCUCCAUAAUAGUUGCCUGUAUCUCACAGUUCACAGUUUUUAUAAUCUGUUCUCUAAUUGUUCCAGUAUACAUCAUUUAGAUUGUAAACACCCUCCCUUCAAUGUUGUCUAACCACAUUGGAGCACAUCAUGUGCACAUCACUACACAUUUAUUGAUUGACCAAAUUAAUAGACACACUUCUUCAAGAAAAACUUACCUAACAUGUUUUCCCUCCUUGAAAAUCAUUUUUUCUCAAAAAUCAUUCAUUAUUUUAGAACAUAGUACAUUUUCCAUUUGGACUAUUUUCUUCACAGAAAUCAUGUAGUUCUUAAAACAUCUGAAUCCAUUGGGGCACCUGGGUGGCUCAGUCGGUUGAGCGUCCAACUUUGGUCAGGUCAUGAUCUCACCGCUCGUGGGUUCGAGCCCCAUGUCAGGUUCUGUGGCUCUGUGCUGACAGCUCAGAGCCUGGACCCUGCUUUGGAUUCUGUGUCUCCUUCUCUCUCUGCUCCUCCCCUGCUCAUGCUCUUUCUCUCUCUCUCUCUCUCUCUCUCUCUGUCUCUCAAAAACAAAUAAACAUUAAAAAAAAAUUUAAAACAUCUGAAUCCAUCAUGCAGUCUUCUGCAAGUUAGUUAUAUUUUUAAAAUGUGUUCAAUUCUUGGUAUUAAUUUGUUUUCCCAGUUUCUUACUUUUGAGUCUAUUUGUGAGGCUACUGAUCUAAUUGUGUUAUUUUAGACAGGGUAAAAUACCAGUUAGGCCAAAAAGAGCUUGUUUGGGUAACUGUGUAUAAACUCUGCCUGAAAGUCCCACUGCUAACAUUGUGGAGGUAGAACCAGACCAUACACAGAGCCCGGUAUCAUGUGCCUACAUAUUUAAAAGUUAUAUAUCAAGCUCUUAAACUUUUGGAGAAGUAUGUCCUAUUCUUCUACUUUGAUAGAUUUUUUUUUUCUUUCCAGAAUUUCACUUUUAUAUUUUCCAUUUCUAUUUUGGCCUCAACGUGAUCUCAUUCUUAAUGCUCUAAAAGAUUAAAAACCAAAUGUAAUUACAUUCAAAGUAUUCAAAUUGUGAGUAUAUUUUCCAUCAAAAAAAGUAAAUAUAAAAGACUGAAAAAUUACAAUUAUUUUUGGGUGAAGAUGGUCUAAAGUACAAACUUCCAGUUAUAAGAUAUAUAAGUUCUGGGGAUAUAAUGUAGAGCAUGGUGACUAUAGUUAAUAGUACUGUAUUGUAUAUUUGAAAGUUGCUAAGAGAGUAGAUCUUAAAAGUUCUCACCACAAGAAAAAUGAAUUUGUAACAGUGUGAGGUGUGGAUGUUAACUAAACUUAUUGUGAUAAUCAUUUCACUGUAUAUACAUACAUCAAAUCAUUACAUUGUAUAUCUUAAACUUACACAAUAUUAUGUCAGUUAUUUCUCAAACUGGAAUAAAAUUAUAAUUAUUUUACAUGUUUAAAAAAUGACUUCUGUAAAGAAUUCAAAGUUAUAUCUCAAAAUUGGAAAGGAAAAAAUAAAUUAUAAUUAUUUAAUAUCAAAAUUUUAAAUCAAAAUCAUAGAGAAAACUUAAAAUUUACCUGCAUCUAUUUAAAUAUAUUAUUAAAAAGAAAACUAUUCUUUAUUCUUGCAUUGACCAUCUGGUAGUCAGUGGGAAGAAUUGAUAUCAUGCUUCAUGCAUGUUAUGUCUAGCUUACAUAUUCACACAUUCAAGAGUAAUAUGAAUUGUUUUAUAUUGCAAAUGUUCCUCAGCAGUCAUGUUUAAUUAUUACAAAUAAUAUACUAAUUCAUGGGUACUUCUGGAAACACAAAAUGUAAAGAAAAGCAAGAGGGGCGCCUGGGUGGUGUAGUGGUUAAGCAUCCAACUCUUGAUUUUGGCUCAGGUCAUCAUCUCACGGUUUGUGGGUUUGAGCCCCACAUUGGGCUCAGCACUGGCACUGCAGAGCCUGCUUGGGAUUCUCUCUCUCUCUCACUCCCCUGCUGCUGCUCUCUCUCUCUCAAAAUAAAUAAAUAAACUUAAAAACUUUUUUUCAAAAUAGAUACUGGGUGAAAUGGAAAAUGAUACUGCACUGUGCAAAAAUCUUUUGCACUCAUGCUGAGAGGAAGGAAAUGAAAAGUUAGUCCUUUCUCCUCUCUAGGUACUCCUCUUAUUCAAACCCACCCACAUCACUGGUGUUCAUCUCCAAAUUUGGUGGCAGUACAAUCCACAAGACCUCACAGCAUUUAGACACAGUUGCCUUUUCACUCAAGAAAUAGGACAAGAGAGGUAAAGAAGCGUUUCCCAGAGGGCUGAAUGCUGUUAAGCAUGAAAGUGGAUGUUUAAGGACACAUGUGCCAGUGCUGAGCACCAAAUCACAAGUGCCAGAGGUACCCAUGUGCUAUUAAACAGAUUUAUUUUUUGUGUUUGUGAUAUGUGGGGCCUUCUAAAACACAGAGCCUAAAGCGGGGCCACCUUGCUUGGGUGGCAGGGUUGAUUGUAUCACUGUGCCAAAAGUCAAUCACUGAAGGUCAGAAAGUUCUUUCUAGUCCCAAUAGUGUUCAUGGGUUAAAGAAUUAAGCUAUUUGUAGUGAUACGGUAUAAUAGUGAAAACACAGACUCUGGAGACAUAGUGAUUGGGUUCACAUCCCAACUUUGCUACUUAGUUGUCUAACCUUGGACAAGUUAGUUAACCUUUCUAUACUUCAAUUUCCUCAUCUGUAAAAUAGGGAUGAUAAUAAUGAUACUACUUUGAAGGAGAGUUGCAAUGUUUAAAAAAUACUCAUCUCACUGACUAAAGUGAGUAAAUAUAUGUGAGAGAAAAUGUAGUGAAUAUGUUUUCCAUCAAAAAAUGUAAAAUGGGGCGCCUGGGUAGCUCAGUUGAUUGAGCAUCCAACUCUUGAUUUAAGCUUGAUUUAAGCUCAGGUCAUGAUCUCACAGUUCAUGAGAUAGAGCCCUGCGUCGGGCUUGACAGCAUGGAGCCUGCUUUGGGUUUUCUCUCUCCCUCUCUCCCCCUCCCCAACUCAUGCUCUUUCUCUUUUGCUCUCACAAAAUAAAUAAAUAAAUUUUUUUAAAUGUAAAGUAAAUAUAAAAGAUAUUUUGCAAUAUAAAAUUACUCAUAUUACUCUUAAAUGUGUGCUACAUAGGCUAGCAUAUGUAGGCUAGCAUAUGUAAGCUAGACAAAGACAUAUAUCAACUAUGUGCACCCUCCAAAUCAUUGUGUAGAACCAAUUCACUCUUGGAAAAAGUACAAUAAUUAAUUUAAAAAAAAUAACAACAACAACAACAACCAGCUUUUGGAUGCCUUUUGUGGCCAAGCACAACAUUUACAUUGUAUCAUUUAAUCCUCAGAACAGUCCUCAGAGAUAAACAUUAUUUUCAGUUUUCAAGGAAGAAAUUAAGAAAGGUUCAGGAAUCUGUUCAAGGACACAAGUAAUAAGCAACGGUGCUAAACUUCAAAUGGAUGUUUUCUGAGUACUAAACCUAAGCUCUUUUCAGUUUGUUCUUAGUGGACCAAACCAUGUCUCUUAAUCGCAAAUUCUAAAUUCUAAGAUCAUACAGUGGUAAUGUUAUCGGUAGGAAUGGAAAUUAUAAAUAACUUGCCACCACCAAACUUUGAGCUCUUUGAGGACACAGGUUGUUUUAUUUAGCUCUUAGCACAAUGCCUGGAACACUGUAGACACUCAAUAAAUGCUUGUCUCAAACCAGUAAUGAUUAAUCUGGGGCCAAAAACAGGCUAAGGAAGUUAACAUCAUAUUUUGUUAAUUGACAGCAUAAAAUAGAUUCAUUGAGACAACUACAGUGUUCCCUCUACUUCAUAUAACAAAAUUUUACAUGAUUAAUAUUUUUUUAAAGUUUAGUCAUCUCUGUACCCUUAGAUCUUGUUUUGACAUUUUUAACCAUGGCAUAUGGAGCUUGACUUUGAUUCUUCCAUGAAUCUUUUUGAAAUGAGGACUCAGUUUAUUCAGAUUUAUCUGGAUGGCACUAUUACUUCCCUGAUCCUUGCUAGAAAAUAAGUUACAGAAUAUUUGAAGAUGUUUUCCUUAUUUAGAUUUGAACUGCAUGGGGCUUUUUAUUGUUUUCCAGAAAAUUCUCAUGGGCCACACAGGGUUCAUACCAGUCUGGAAUAUGGUUGUUUGGCCCACCCACCAUUUUCAAUAACAUUUAAACUUAGGUUUGUAUAUUUAGGGAUACAAUGAUGAUGCUAUGGAUUUUUAUCCUGAGUUUCAGUUCUUUUGGUGUUCCACAAGGAGCAACCACAUCUAGUACUGAGCAACAUCUUAAAAUACAUUGCCUAGCAAAUUGUAAGGGAAAAAAAAAUGAAUUCCUUCAAGUUUGUCUCUCUUCUACUAGACCAGAAGCAUCAGCUAUUUAUUUAUGCUUUAGUCCAGAUUGGGAGAUAAGAGGAGUUCAAAGGGAGAUCAUGUAGCCUUCUUCAUGUCUAUUUUCUUCAGUUGGGCUGAAAAAAAAAUGUGAUGACUGAAGCUCCAGCAAUAAUUUUGGGCCACUAGGUACAAGCUACAUACUGAGGGUAGCAGAGCAACAGGGUAAAAGAGAGUCUGUGUCCUUGAUGAUUAUAAAUCUGCCCUACCAACCCUGGACUGUUUACUUCCAGACUUCACUUAUGUAAGAGAGAAAUGAAUUUAUAUCUCAUUUAAGCCACUGUUAUUUGCAGCUUUCUGUCUUUUUCACCUCUCUACCUAAUCCCAACAAAGAGGCUGUAUUAAAGUCCUCAUAUGUUGUUUUAUCAUGGGCAAAGUAAAAAGAAGGAUGUGACUUUAUCUCCAUGAUCAUCUUUUUCUACUCCUGAUACCAAAUAUUAUCCCAUUUCCAUCUGGCCCAUAGAAGCCAGACACCUAAACAAUUCUAUAAGAAGACGGAACUUAUUAAUUUAUCCUAGCAUAUGAAUGUAGUAGCAAUUUCUCAAAUAACAUGCUUAUAUUUUCCAAGCUGGCCUAAUUAAAUACACUGGAUUUUGUUCUAUGAAAUUGAUUUAAAUGAUUCUCCUGCACUUUACACAGUUCAUUAAUUAUAUACCUUUAGGGCUCUAGAACCUUUUCCUAGAGUACCAAGAAAUGUAAACUAGCCAAAUGUGACUUUUAACCUCAAACUUCAACCUGCUUUAUAUGUCACAUUGAAAAGUACUGCACAGCUGUUUUCCCAGAAAGACUAGUUUUUCUUUCAAAUCUUCCUUCAUUUUUAUAAUCUAAUCUCUAAAAUGUUUCAACGUAUGGUUAUAUAUUGAGUCCUGUAUUAUAAGGCUUAAAUUCAUUUCUUUUAAAGUUUUCUUUUUACCCUUGAAAAGGUAUGCAUUCUCAAUAGUGAAUAAUUAUUGUGAGAUAAAGAAUAGAAGAUGGGAAGAAAAAAGAAAUUGAAGAUAAAAUUGGGCUUUAACACAGAAGAAAACUUACCUGGGUGCACAUUAAACAUUUGGCUAAGUAAAUUCUUACAGGGAAUACCAAAAGAUUUUUAACCAGCAGUAAGAAAAGCUUGACAAAACCAAAAGGCAGGUUUCCUUAUGAUCUAAUAAGAUAAUUUUGCCUUCAUAAUUAGCAAAUUGAUGUUGCUAAAAUAGCACAUGGAAAAGUAUGCUCAAAUGUUCCGCCAAUGGGAACAAUGUGCAUGAUUCAGACUAUGAGCAAAGACAGCAUAGGAUGACUUUAGGGAAAUGCACACAAUUGCCAAAUCAUAUCCUCAGGCACCAGAAUGUGUGAGUCCUCUACCCACUACUGAUUCUUGUCUCUAAGAUAUGUUGACACAUUUAUUUGUCAUGUGUCUUUCUUCAGUCUGCAGUGUGGUGUAAUACAAAAAGUAUUGAGUUCAAGAUCAGAAGACUUGAGCUCUAGGCCAGGCUCUCACACUUAUGGCCCUGUGCAUGCCACUUGACCUUCCCCAGUGUCAGUUUCCUCAUCUGUAAAUUAGGGUUAAUAAUACCUGUAAUACUUGCCUCACAAGUGUGUUGUGAAAAUCAAAUGACAUGUAUGUAUUAGUGCUUUGUAAACUACAAAAAUUAAGCAUUCUCUUCCUUCAGAUUUUGCCACCUAUACCUUCUACUUAUGAUAUUUCUUUUCCUGAAGUCUGUUUUGAAAAUUAAGAGCCGGUCUGCAUCUUCUAGUGGCCUCUCUCAAGAGCAAAUCCUUUAUCCACCUGAGCCCCCUUAUCUAAAAAUGAUGAGUUGGACUAGACUGACAGGUCAGAAUUUUAUUUAGCAGCAGAACAUUUUUAUUCGGAAGAUCAGCAUAAUGAACAAAAGUAGGGUUGCUCUUAGUUGAGAUGGUUGAAGCUGGGAUGAAGAGAACUCAGAGUCCUGCCUAAUUAGACCUCCCCCACAAAGAUACACACUAUACCCCACUCAACCAGCUCCUAAGGUCCCUUAAAACAAACCUUAGAUCCUCCUACUCUGACUUUCUAUAAUGUUGAUGUUAUGAUUCCAGCCCUGAUGUUUCUAUGAUUCUUCAAGCAAAAUUCACUCUACUGUAAAGGAGUAGAGAAAAGCUGUAGUAUGUUAUGGAUGGAUAGAUGUGACAUUUGAACUCUUGUUAGCUGACCAACAAAUUUGUUGAAAUGUAGCCAUGUCAGUCUAAUCAUGUAAGUACCAAACUACUUGAGAUGGAUGCUGUGUGAAAUAUCUCAACAGUCUUCAUGGAUCAGAGCACUCUGCCGAAACUAUAAAAGUAAAUAUUGAAUGGGCACUUCUCCAAUUUGUUCUCCACUAAAUAUACAGCAACACUGCAGUCUCUUUGAAACCAUUUUCAGUAAGAGUGACUCAGAGAUUAAGAAGCCACUUAUAACAAAGUAAGUAAUGCAAUGCCAUUUCUCAAUGCCCCCAGACAAGUGAGACUGUGUAUGGAGGUUGGCUUCAGUGUACACAGAUCAUAGAAUCACAGAAAGUCUGAUCUGGAAAUCAUGUUAGAGAACAACCAACCUAUUUUAUAAAUGAUGGGUCUGAAAUCCAAAAAGGCUGUGAGCUGCCCAAGUUUAGGAAUUCAUUCAAGCUUCAUUAAGUAAACAUUAGCUAAGCACUAACCAUGUGCCAGGUGGUAUUGAUAGGAAGACAAAUAAAACAUGAUCUCUGUCCAAGUAGUGGGAGAAGUCAGACAAAUAGAUCCAUAAUUGCAGUCAGAUUAUUGCAGCACCAGGACUCGAAACUCUGUGUCCAAGUUCUUAGGCCAGUGUUUUUACCACCAACUUACACUGUCUCUCAAAACAAAACAAAACAAAACAAAACAAAACAAAACAAAACAAAACAAAACAAAACCCAUGAGAAAUUAGUAGUGAGGAACUAUAGCCAAAUUGAUCCAAAGAUAUAUUAAUGUAAACUAAGCCUAGGUCUUUGGGGUGCACAAGUACUUAUUCACAUUUCUUGAGGACCUAAGAGUAAUAAGAGGGUUCUAUCCUUGUGUGAAAGAAAAUGCUUACAAAAAUCUUUCACUAAUACUAGUAAGGACUUCCUAGAAGACUGAGGAAAUCAUGAAUGGAAAAGUCCUACAAACUAAGCAUACAUAGCAUGGCCUUUGCUCCAACUUUGAGGAAGUUGCCAUCAAGGUCAAAUUCAUGAAAAAUUCCAUUACCUACUGACAUACUUUUCAACCUAUUUAAGCAAGAAAAAGAUUUCAAUUAGCUGUCUUCCUGUCUUCAUGUGCUUAUUAUUUUUAUUUAGUAUUUAAAAUAAUGAAAAAAUACACAAGAUUUCAAAGAUCUAUGCCACCAUCCAGAAAGAAAAAAAAACAAACAAAAAAACUAUGGGCAUACUUUAUAAAAUCUCAUUUCUUCAUUACUAGUAAGAUUUUAGGAUGAAUUUUUUCUGCAUUCCUGCUCAUUGUCUUCUCUAAACUGCUUUGUGGUUUUCAACUACAUCAAAGUAAAAUCAGCACAUAUACCUAACAAGAAAACUUCAGGGAACACCACCAAUCAACCUACAUUUAUUUGUCCAAAGUUUAGCACUAGUAGAUCUGAGGACAGGCAUCUUUACAAAGAAUCCAUCAUCUAUCCAUCCUUUUAUCCAUUUGUUCAUCUAGGAUGCAUUUAUUGACUACGUUCUACAUGAAUACCAUGAUACGAAGAGCUAUGUGGAAUACUAAAAAAAUAGAACAAUGUUUCUCAAAGUGUAGCUUGAGGACCUACCUCCAUCAGAAUUACCUGGAGAAUUUGCUAAAAAUGUAAGUUCCUAGACCCCAGUAGUAUAGAUUUUCUUUAUUGGUUUAGUUCCCCAUUGCAAGCAACAAAAACAAAUUCUUGCUACCUUAGACAAAGAAGGAACUGACUGAAAGGAUAUCAGGGAUUCACACAAUUGACCAGAGAUUGGAACUGAGGAAGCUUUAGAGGAACCACAACAAAAAUAACACCACAGGAACAAUGUAGUCAUCAUGCUGACACUGUAAUGAUUUCCAGUUCUAACUUUGGUGUUGUUUUACUGCUAUAGACUGAAAUUUCUGAAGUAGAGUCACCAAAUGAUGGAGUGUCACCAAGCCCAGGUGACACUUCUUCAGACUAAUCUUCCAAAGGGAGAUUCCUCUAAAGGGAAAUUAAGAUGAAAAUGAGAAGUGGCAUUAAAUGCUGGUUACAACUGACAAAUGCCUGGUUACAUGUUAAAUCAGAAUCUCUGAGGGUGAGGCUGGGGGGGGGGGGGGGGGGGGGGGGGGGGGGAGGAGAGGGUAUACAUUUUUUAAAAAAGCUUUCAGAUAAUUAUGAAGUAUUCUAAAGUCUGACCAACACUGAUGUAAAUGAUAUGAUCUAUCCCCUGAAAUAGAUUUAAAUCAGAGCAGAAAGCAAAGACAUCUUAUUUAUGAAACUGGAGAUAAUUCCAAGUUUCUAAUUAAGUGUUGUCUAUCUGUGGAUGUUGCCCCCAUUUCCACCCCUUGCCCUCAUCAGCCAUCCAAUCAAAAAUGAGCAUCUUUAUAAAAAGGUAUAUAAUGCUUAUUACAAUAAAAAGUAAGUAUACACAUAUUUUUAUGGAAAAAAUAGAUGCACAAAAAGCAAGUUUGGAAGACUACAUAUCAAAAUGUGAACAAUGGAAAAGAAAGAAUAAUUCCAAAGACAAUAUAAACAAGUUCAUGACAGUUAUAUAGCAUAGAUGUACUUGAUAUAAAAGAUAUAAAAUAAAAAUAAAUGUAACUGAAAUUGUUUACUUCAAACUCUUAUAUAUACUUUCUGUAUUUCUAAUUUUCCUGGAAUGAGGAAAAUAAUGUCCUAAUCCAAAUUAUUGAGAGUAUAAUUGAUCAUUGUUAGUGACCAUGUUUAGACUUUCAUAUGGCUAGUCGUUUCAGACUUUCCAAAAACACUGCAUGUCAGAUUUUCUUAAAUUAUAGAAAUUUUGAUGCCUGAGUGGCUCAGUCGGUUAAGUGUCUGACUCCAACUCAGGUCCUGAUCUCACGGUUUGUGGGUUCGAGCCCUGUGUCAGGCUCUGUGCUAACAGAGUGCUAACAGCACAGAGCCUGGAGCCUGCUUCAGAUUCUGUGUCUCCCUCUUUCUCUGCCCCUUGCCCACCUGUACUCUGUCUCUCUCUCUCAAAAAUAAAUAAACAUUAAAAAAAUUAAUUUUCAUCAUUAUCACUUACUGUACAUUAAAUGAAGAUAAAUGGUCACCAGCAAGCUCCUCUAGUACAGCUAAUGAAAUAAUGUUUGUCUGUAUUUACUCAUUGCGAACAAUAUCUGAGGAUCUUCCACAUAUAUAGUUUUAUCCUAAGAACUAUGUUAUAGGAAAACAAUUGUAGGAAGGCACUAGCUAAAGAAAAAAGAUAAAUUUAAUAGAAACAACUAAAGAAUCAUGUGAAAGCAACUUAUAAACAAAUACAUGAUGGCAUAAUCUAGAUUCUAGUUAGUGUCAUCUCAAACUAAGCAGUGGAUGAGAGCAAGACAAACCAUGAGCAUUUUUUUGUUUUGUAUUCAUAUUAGGUAGGCAUAGACCUAAAAUAGAAGACUUACAGGCAAUUCUGAAAUAGAGUGUCAACCACUGUGUGGUAGCUGUGGCCUAGGGUAACCAAGAACAGCCUGAGUCUUUUCUUGUUAAGAAAGUGUCAACUGGUCACCAACAAUUGCCAUGUCUCUAGCUGAUCACAGGGCUCAGAGGCAAAACUGAGAACAAGGAGCCAACAGAGCAGUUAGUAGCUGUGCUCAGGAAUUAGGAUGGUAGCUGGCUCCUAGUAGGAGCUCAGUAAAUGUUCCUUGUUGAAUAGUCAUUCAUUUGGAAAGAACUGCUGCUGUUACAUUGAUUUAUCCAACCUUUCUCCCACCCUUUCCUCCUCAUUUUCUCACUCCUCUGGGUCCCUGCCACAUACAACACAGCGAGAUAAUAAUCACCAUCCACAAUAUCAUCUUUGAAUGAAAUAUUAAAUGUGUAUCUGGAUGCCAAAUACUUAAAAAUACGUUGCAAAACAUAACCUAAAAUGUGCAUUUAGCUAGAGGCCCAUCUAAAAAAAGAAAGAAAGAAUAAAAAUAGUCUGAGUUCAAGUGAGAAAGAAUGUGCUGUUUUUAUGCAUAAUAUUUCAAGCUUUGCCUCUGUGAAGCUUAGAUUUGCUAAAAGCAUAUUAAAAUGCAGCUAGUUGGCUAAUUCACAAAUCAAGUCUUGUGGGUGUAGACCAUUAUUAUUAUUAUUAUUAUUAUUAUUAUUAUUAACAUUUAAUAGUAUUAUAAAUAUUUAUGUACUGCUGUACAUUACCAAAGUGCUUAAAAUUAGUUAAAGCCAAAAGCAGUAUCAUCUUUGUUCACUAAUGAGAAUGAAGUUUGACUGUUUUGUGGAAACUACAGAGAAAAAGACACAUGGACUAGAAAUUUAAAUAUUUGAUGUAAAUUUCAGUUAAAAUAUUAAACUGUAAUUUAACUAAGAACAUAAGCUCCACACAUUAAAAAAUCAAAUUAUUAAAAUAAUGUUAUUUUAUGUCAAAUUUUGCUUGUAAUUAUAGAACAUGACACUGAAAGUCUGUAUCAGUGUUCCUAUAACUUUUCUGAUAAUAUGAAUCACAAGGAAUGUUUGUAAAAAAUACAAUUCCUUGACUCCCAAGACUUGGAAUUUCUGAUUCAUUGAGUCUGGAAUGAGACCGGGGAAAUUUUAUUUUUAACCAAUACCAUAAGAAAUUCUUAUUAUCAGGGAAAAUUGAGAAACAGUCAUUUCUGUGAACUAGUAUCCAACUCCAAGACCCCAUAGGAACUUGGAACAUACAAACUUUAUAAUCAAUCAAACCUUACUUGUAUAAUCAAUCCAUCAGGCACUGGGCUGAUCCACAUCUCUUUUGAUCUUCAUGGCAUUCCAUAAGAUAUCCAUUUCUCUGAUCAAAUUUUGAAAUGCUGAAUAACUAGAUCAAAAGAAAAAUUGAAUAAUUAGACCAAAUUCACAAAGCCAGGUCUAUCUGACUCCCAAACCUAUGCCAAAUCAGUAUGUAUUUUUGUCUGCACAUUGCCAAAUCUUGCAUCUUAGAAAAGACAAAAAAGGAGGAGAGGGAAAAAGAAAACAGAAUUCCAGUAAGUGUCCUUAAGCUUUUCAAGAGAUUAUUGAAUAUGCACACUAAGUUAAAAAGUUAAAUCCACCUUAAGUUCUCUAGUUGAAAUGUAAAAUUGUUAGGAAUUGUUUAAAAUUGUUAUAAAUUGUUUCAAAUUAUUAAAAAUUAUAUUCUUGGUGCCUGGGUGGCUCAGUCUGUUGAGCGUCCAACUUGGUUUGGCUCAGGUCAUGAUCCCAGGGUCAUGGGAUUGAGCCAUGCAGCGGGCUCCACACUGAGCAAUGGAGCCUGCUUAAGAUUCUCUCCUCUCCCUCUGCCCCUCUCCCCCCUUCCUCUCUCUCUCAAACUAAAGUAAAUAAAUAAAUAAAUAAACAUAAAAAUAAAAAUAAUUUAAAAAAAUAAAAUUACAUUCUUCAGUUGAAAUGUAAAAUUGUUAAAAAGAAUCAUGUCCCAGGGGAAGACCAAAGGGAGUAAAUGGUCAUAAAAUAAAAAAAUAUAGUUGAUUUCUAUAUUAGUGUUAAGAUAGAUGUUAUUUUGUUAGGAAGUGUAGAGUUCCUUUUGGUUGAGGAAGUAGAGGAAGAAGUAAAUAGGUCAUGGUAUGUAAGGGAAUCUGGUAUAUUAUUUCUCUGAAGUUGGCAAGUUAAACUAUAAGGAGACCAUUCUUUUCUUGUGGGUGCAACUCUUAAUCCUGACUGAAGGACCUAAGGCAAAAGUUAUGUACAGUCUAUACCUCCAACCUUUAUUUUACAUUAGUGCUGCUGAGAAGGAAGAUUCUCCAAAGUCUCUCUCCAUAAGCAAGCCUACUUAAGAAUCAGGUUAUCUUGUACAAGUGCAAGAAAUAAUUGACCUGAGUUGAGCUAACUUUUUCAGAGAACACAAGCUGAGGUGAGCUAGUUUUUGUACAGAAUACAGCUCUAAUGUUACCUUGAAAGGCCCAGCAAACAAAACCUUUGGGCCUUUGAUGUAGAAAUGAGACAAAUAGCAUGACAAGAAAUGGUAGACUCUGUCAGCAAAUUGUUAUUGAAAUUAAUGCCCCUCCCAUUUUUGGUUUGUGGUACUGGUCUGAAUGUAGACAAUGGUGAUUACCUUUCAGUUUUCUUAUAAGAUGUGGCUACUUCCUUGGCUUUCAAAAAUUCUACUUCCUUGGUUUCUUUGUCUCAAUGUGUCACAGUAUUUCUGCUUUAAGUCAAGGGAGAUGGCCUUGAAAAUAGACUUGGGAGGGGGGCAGCUAUAGUUUAAGGGAGAACUCAGUGUAGUAAUGAACUUAGCUCAGAGGAGCUUUCAAAAAAGUAACAGACCCAUCAACCAGUAAGAAGACAUUUAUGGGAAUGAGUCUGUAUAAUGAGAUGGCCAUUGUAAAAGAAUCUGAUAAGCUGAGAGGGCCUGCUAUAAAGCAACAUCAAACCAUAUUAAGCCCUAUCCUUCUUAUAUAGAUGGGACAAGCCAGAAAUUAAGAACUUUGUGUUAGAAGAGCAAAAUGAUAUCCCAGUGGAGAUGUUUAGCCACUAGGGCAAAAGCCAGGAAGGGUGGGUGGGAGUGUGGGGAGGUGCCUGGAAGGAUGGUUUUUUAGUUUCAAAGAACAUUUUGCAUAUAAGGAAGCAUCCUAGUGAUUAUGAAUUAUUUUUAUGUUUUGUCCAUAUUGAAUUUAUUUUAUUUACACUUAAUUUCUUAGCUGAAAAUAGGUUUUGAAGACCUAAAUGUAUAAAGUUGUUGAAGAAAAGGCCUAUUUCUCAAAGGCAGUAAGCUCUCUUACAAAAAUAGAGUAAUGAUUGACUAUCAAAAAGAAUGAAAUCUUACCAUUUGCAACAACGUGGUUGGAACUAGAGUGUAUUAUGUUAAGCGAAAUAUGUCAGAGAAAGACAAAUAUCAUAUGAUUUCAUUCAUAUGUGGAAUUUAAGAAACAAAACAGAUGAACAUAGGGGAAGGGAAGUAUAAAUAAGAUAAAAACAGAGGGGGAGACAAACCAUACGAGACUCUUAAAUACAGAGAACAAAUUGAUGGUUGCUUGUGGGGUGUUGGGUGGGGGGAUGGGCUAAAUGGGCAAAUGGGCACUAAGGAGGGCACUUGUUGGGAUGAGCACUGGGUGUUCUAUGUAAGUGACGAAUCACUAAAUUCUAUUCCUGAAAUUAUUACUACACUAUUUUAACCAACUGGGACCUAAAUUAAAAAAAAAAAGUAGGGGCGCCUGGGUGGCUCAGUCUGUUGGGCGUCUGACUUUGGCUCAGGUCACGAUCUUGCAGUUUGUGGGUUUGAGCCCCGAGCUGGGCUCUGUGCUGACAGCUAGGAGCCUGGAGCCUGCUUCAAAUUCUGUGUCUCCCUCUCUUCCUGCCCCUCCUGUGUGCACGCUCUGUCUCUGUCUCAAAAAUAAACGAACAUUAAAAAAAACUUUUUUAAAGUAAUAAUUAGUAAAUCACCACUGAAUUUAGUAGUGAUAAUAAUAAAGUAAGUAGUAGUGAUUCUUCUAGGAAUUGACUGCCUUGAUACCUUGCAUGCCUGAGAUCAGGAGCUAACUCCAUUGUUCUUUGAGAUCUUUCCAAUUUUAAGAACUAUAAAUUUAUGAACCAGAAUCUGAGGGAGAAGAAAAAUAAACCCUUUUCUCUUUAGUGUGUCAAUGCAUAAGAAACAUUUUCAAACCAGAUUGUAUUAUUUUUUCAUGCCAUGCCCUAUUCUAUCUGUAUGCCAAGUGGAAAAUGUAGUUGGAAAUGUUUUUUUGGCCAAAUAUAACUCUGUUCUGGGAAACUACUUCCUUUACCAACCACAGCUAUUCAGACACAUAUUAGAAUGUAGUAUAGGUGUCCGAGGAAUACCCCCCCCCAUGGUCCCCUAAGCCGCUGCAUUAACUCCUAGGGAAAAUUGCAAGUUGAUGACAGAGGUAUCUGGGACUGGCUGGGUGUCUGGCCUCUUUCUUAAAGAUCUCUAACCUAGCCAACAAGAUGGCUGUGUGUUGUGAGAGAGGACAAUGGAAGCAUCUGGUAAUAGCCAAAGAAGUUGUCCUUUUAGACAUUUCCAUUUGACUAUCUCAUAAGUCUACCAUACUUUCCCAAAUCAAAACCAAUUCCCCAAAACAUGUUCAACCUCCAAUCUUUCCUAUCUCAGUAAAUGGCACCAUCAUAUGCCCAAAAAUUCAAGUCCAAACCUAGGACUUAUUCUAGUUUCUGCUUUACCUCACUCCCCAAAUCCAAUUUAUCAACAAAUUCUGGAAAUUCUGAACAAAUUAUUCUGAAGGAAAUCUUGAAUUUCCCCAUCAUUACUACUAUUAUCCUGCUCUAAGCCACAGUCAUCACUCAUUUGAUAAAAGCCUUGAUAAAAGCCUCCCAUUUUCACUGCUGUUCCCUCUAUACUCCGUCCUCUAGCCAGAAGAUGGAAUCAUCUUUUAGAAAAACAAAUCAGUCCAGGGGUGCCUGGGUGGCUCAGUCGGUUAAGCUUCCAACUUUGUCUCACAUCAUGAUCUCCCGGUUUGUGAGUUUGAGCCCGGCGUUGGACUCGGUACUGACAGCUCAGAGCCUGGAGCCUAGAGUCUGCUUCAGAUUCUGUGUCUCCCUCUCUGCCCCUCAUCCGCUCACACUCUGUCUCUCUCUCCCUCUCUCAAAAAUAAAUAAAUGUUAAAAAAAAAACUUUUUUUUUUUUAACAAAUCAGUCCAUAUUUCUUCCUGGCUUAAUCCAACUUUGUCCAUAGCCUCCCACUGUAACUUGAACAUAAUCAAUGGUCUUGCCACACCCCAUAAAAUCCUAUAUGGUCUGGCCUCUGCCUACAUCUACAAUCUCAUCUCCUAUCUCUCACCCCUUUGUUCAAUUUACCCCAACUACAUUGUCAUUUCCUCUGUUCCAUGGACAAAGCUCCUUUGCACUUGGAUUCCUUUUCCUGAUAUGCUCUUCACAGGCCUUCUUAUUAGCUGUCUCCUCCUAAUUCAUGUCUCAGCUCAGUUAUUAGCUCCUCAGAAAAGCCUUCCCACCUUUCUUCUCCCUAUUCAUUAGAUUUGGGGGGAGAUAAUUUGUUUUUUUUUUUCACUACGUGCAUCUAUUACUUUGCUUUGUAAAUUAAGGUAAAAAUGUAUAAAUAAACAAAAUAGCCUCUUUAAUCACUAUUAUAUCACUUUGUUUUGCUUUCUUCAUUGCAGUCAUCAUUUUCGCACAUUAAUUUUCUUUAUUUAUGUUUUCUUAUUUAUUGUGUGUUUCUCACUGGAAUGUAAGAUCUAUGAGAGAGGAAUUAUUUCAAUGACCCACAUCUGCCAUGUCAACCAGUGUAUCCCAGCACCUACAAGGUCAUUUAUACAUUGCAGAUUCUCAAUAAAUAUUUGUUAAAUGAGUAGAUUUCAGUUGCCUAAGAAGUUGUUUCCUUUGGCUGAGAACGGUCGUGUGCAUUCAUUUGAAAAGAGUGUUUAGUGAAAUAUUCUGUUUGCAUAUUAAGAUACUAUUGCCAAGGGACACCUGGGUAGUUCAAUCAGUUAAGGGUUCAACUUGGGUCCAGGUCAUGAUCUCAUGGUUCGUGAGUUUGAGCCCCACAUCUGGAUCUCUGCUGUCAGCACAGAACCUGCUUCAGAUCCUCUGUACCCCCCCCCUCUGCCCCUCCUCCCCCUCAAAAAUAAAUAAACAUUUAAAAAAAGAUACUACUGCCAAUACCCACGCACGUGGAAUGGUUCCUUAAUACAAGUGAGAAAUUGUCAAAAUACAUGCAAAGCUCCUAACAAAGAUGGCAAAUAGAUUAGUAUCCAAAUCUAUUUCACAUGUCAAUGGUAAGGUUCACAUCAAUGUGAAAAUUGAAAAGCAAACUUUAUGUUGUUUUGAAUCUGAUAGCUAAUACCUGAGUUCUGCUUUCUAGGCAGUGGUGAACUGUGUGGAAUUGCUGAUGCUGGAGUUGAAACCUGAAUAUGAGGAUGCUCUAAACUGAUUUGCAGCACAGUAAAAAUGGAAGAAUAAGAGGUAAGGAUAAUUGCCUACACACUCCAAACAAGACACAAAGUUAUGAGGAUGUGGCUAUGACAAGUUGUUUAGAAUUAGGGCUUUGAAAAAUAAGAGUUCUCAUUGAUUGAAUGCCUACUGUGUGCCAGGUCAUUGUCUAUAGUCUUUAUAGAAACAAUUUAGGUGGGUAUUAUUUCCCCAUAGCUAUGUAAAAAGUAGAGCAAUAACUUAAACUAGAUUUUUCAAAUCCCAAAGUUAACAUGCUGUCCACUGUACCUCUCAGUCUUCUUCUGAUGAUGCACUCCAUUUAUUUCUGUGAUUCCUAGCCCAAGUUUAGAGCCUGGCACAGCAUCCUAACAGAAUCAUGCCUCGCUGGACAGUAAAUGCCUCUGCUGCCAGCGGAGGGGGCACCUAAAUGUCCAAGCUGAACUGAAUCCAAGGUUUGCUGACUAAGCAGGUUUCAAGUUUCAUGCUCACGCCUCUUCCUCCUCCCUUUCUUUCCCAACAUCCCUUGAAGCUCACCUCUCCCACUGUCCACUGGGGAAAGCAUCUUCCAGGUGCUAAUAAGAAAGAUACUCUGGCCAUAGUGUGAUGGAAAGAGGCAGCUCAGCAAAAUCACUGCUGAGAACCUGGGCAGGCUUAGACAAUGUGAUCUGAAGAGCUGAAGUGUGCAACCCACAGAGAGAAAGAAUUGGGUAGAAUGCAGAAUUGAAGAGGAUGAGCUUAAGAGGAAAAUCUUCCUGACAGAAAUGAAUUAGUUAUGGGAUCAACUCCCCAAGGAAAGGGAUAUGGCUCCAUUCCCUAACUCCCAGGCAGAAAACAUACUAGAAAGGACAAGCAGGAGACAAGGGGAGACAUCAAUGACUAAUCGGUGCUUUUCACCUUUGAGUUUUAUGAAGAUGAAUGGAGCACUUUUGAAUGGAGGAAUGAAAACAAUAAUAAAAAUGAAGAGAUGGUACUGACUAAGGCACUGCAAAGAUAAAGAGGAAUAGAGGCUUUUGGCCCUGUGCAGAGUGAGAAAAAACUUUUCUUCCAACUGGGAGAUGCAGAGGUGAGCAGUUCAGAGUUUUGAAUUCACAGUUCAGGCUCUGUGAAUUUAUAUGAACCUGAGUAAAUUAGCCUUUCUAAGCUACAAAAUAGGAUAUUAUUCCUAUAGGAAUCCUAUAGGAAUCUCCUAUUUUGUAGGUUAUCUCUCACUAUAAAAUAGGGAUAACAUCUUUACAGAGGGUUCUUGUGAAGAUUAAGGGAGAUAAUUUGUGUCAAAAACAGUGUUUAGCACGUAGUAAGCACUCACUGAAUGACAGCAAUUAUUAACGGGUUAUGGCUUUGUGCAGAGGGAGAAUAUAACCAAGAUCACUGUUAAUCAAGGUCAGAUUAUGGGGACAAUUCUUCCCUUUAGACUUAAGGAUGGUGCCUCCUUGGUUGAAUCAUUUGCUAUGUUGAUGUCUCACACCCUCUUUAUUGACUUGGCUUUCAGCUCACAGAGAAGAUGAAGCCCAAAUAUGAUAGACACCACCCCUGCUCUCAGGCAAGCUUGCUAAAGAGCAGCUCAACCCAUGUUGGUACUCUGCAUCAUUCUAAAGAUAAAACCAUGUCCCCAAGGAAGGAUAUUGUGCACAGAUGAUAAUAGUAACAACACUAGGGGCGCCUGGGUGGCUCAGUUGGUAAGGUUCCAAUCUAGGCUCAGGUCAUGAUCCCGUCAUGUGCUGACAGCUCAGAGCCUAGAGCCUGCUUCAGAUUCUGUGUCUUCUUCUUUCUCUGCCCCUCCCCCAUUUGUGCUCGUGUGUGUGUGUGUGUGUGUGUGUGUGUGCGCGCGCGCGCGCGCGCGCGCGCUCUCUCUCUGUCACUCAAAAGCAAAUAAAUAAACAUUAAAAAGAAUAAAAUAGCUAAAAAAAAUAGUAACAGCACUAUACAUUUAUUCAAUCUUUUACUAUUUACAAAACACUGUUACUUAUAAAAGGUUACUAUUUUUACUUCAUAGAUGAGGAAACAGAGGCUUAGAGAGGUGAAGCAACUUGAUUCAAGUGACAUAGAUAAUUGGUGGGUGGAGCAGGGAUCCACACCCAGCUCCUCUGACUUCAAGUCUGGGGUUUUUCUAUAUCACAAGAUGAUGUAAAGGAUGGGAGCAGGUAGCAAAUUAGAAAGCCAUUUGCUUCCAAUCAUAAAAACAUUGAAUUUUAUUUACUUUUUAAACUUUUUUAAUGUUUAUUUAUUUUUGAGGUGAGGGGACAGGCAGAGAGAAAGGGAGACAUAGAAUCCAAAGCAGGCUCCAGGCUCAGAGCUGUCAACCAGAGCCAGACGUGGGUCUCAAACCCACGAAUGCGAGAUCAUGACCUGAGUUGAAGUCAGACACUUAACUGACUGAGCCACCCAGGCGCCCCACAUUGAAUUUUAGAACAGAAAGUAGAUUUCAGAUUGCCUAAUACUGUGGUUUUUAGACUGUAUCCAAGGAAUCCUGUAGGAAGUGGGAAAAACCAAGCAGGAAGUAGGAUUGUAUGCACCUCAGUUUUUAUCAGUUAAUUUUAUAACAUUACAAUGUACUUUGAAUGAAUGUUUAAAUCAUUAAGACUUUCCUUUAAGAAGAAUGAAGUUGAAAACUCCUAAUCUAGUGCAACUGUUUUCCUUUCUCUAGUAUGAUACUGAGGCCUGGUCUGGUUAAGUAACUUGUCCAAAUUUCAUAACUAGUUAGAAGCAGAGUGAGGAAUAACACUGAGUCCUUGUCACCUGCAUAUUUGAUAAGCAUGUUGUAAAUGUCCUCAUUCUCCAAAUAUUUCCCUUUGAUUAUCUCAAGCAGUCAUUUAAAUCAUCAAGAAAUAAGCCCUGGGGUUAUUCUCUCCUGAUGAUUCACUAUGUGACCUAAUCAGUCCACUGAUCUCUGUACCCUUGGCUUUUCCAUAGGUAAUAGGGAAUGAUAAUUCCUGUCUAGGCAGCUCUCAGUGGGGGUGUUGUAAUGAUUGUAAAAAAGAACAUGUGGAGGUUCACAGGUUUCUUCCAGGGAAGGAGACUCAGAAAGUUCAAGAUCUUAAUUAUUUACAAAUGCCUACCAAGUAUGUCAUUGCUUCUAAGGUGACCUUUGCAAUUUACCAUCCCUGUGUAUUUAUUGUUCCUCAUUUGAGAAGUCAAUGUAGUUUAUUUUUGUAACCAUGUUAAGAUUUAUGAAAUAGCCUCAAAACUUAUCACAUUGGCUUUCUGAUAAGACUGUGAUUUCUUACUACUUGCAGGUGGUAAGUAAAUCUUUUAAGGUUAAACACCUUUCAUUAUACACAUGUUAUAAAGGAAGUGAUCACUACUGGGUUCUAGCAAUCAUGGGGAACCUAGAACCAGAUGAAACCAAAGGACUUGCAUGCAGGUUACAGAGUUUGUAAUUUGUAACCCUUCCACCUAACUGGCAGUUUUUCCUUCUUCAACAAGGAAUACUAGGAAAAUGCUAUCACAGACCUUCAGGCUAACCUUGAAAGCAGCCUGAGGACUGUGUGUCAUCUUGGCUGAGUUCUUUAUUUCUCUGAGCUUGUUUUCUCACUUGUACAAGGCAGACAUUGCAUUCCCUUUCCACCUCACAGGGUCACCAAGGAUCAAAAGAGAGAACAUAGGGUGACAUGUUUUUAAAACCAUGAUGUGUAUGCUAACUGAAAGGAUGGUCAUUUUUAAGAAUGUGUUAGGGGCACCUGGGUGGCUCAGUUGGUUGAGUGUCCAACUUUGCUCAGGUCAUGAUCUCGUGGUUCAUGAGUUCAAGCCCCACAUCAGGCUUGCUGCUGUCAGUGCAGAACCUGCUUCAGAUCCUCUGUCUCCCUCUCUCUGCCCCUCCCCCACUUGCAUUCUCUCAAAAAAAAAAAAACUUUAAAAAAUUUCUGUAAAGAAUGUGUUAAAUACUAUAUUUAUAAUGUACGUUUCAACUAAGUCUUCUAAAUUUGUUAGGAAUACCUACUUUGGAAUGAUCAACUACUUAGGAUGAAGAAAGGUAUUUCAAAUUAUGCUGAUCUCUAUAAAGAGAGUAAAGUGCCAAUAUCGAGCAAGACGAAGUUAGAGCUAAGGAAUUCCCUCCUUAACUGGCAUUAUCACAAAACAAGAAAUAAUUUUCUAUUUUCAAUUAAGAAUAUUUUAAAUAUAGGGGCACCAGGGUGGCUCAGUCAGUUAAGCAUCCGACUUCGACUCAGGUCAUGAUGUCGUGGUUCAUGGGUUCAAGCCCCAUGCCGGUCUCGGUGCUGACAGCUCAGAGCCUGGAGCCUGCUUUGGAUUCUGUGUUCUCCCUCUUUCUGCCCCUCCCCUGUCUCUCUCCCUCUCAAAAAUAAAUAAACAUUAAAACAUUUUAUAAAAAAAGAAAAUAUUUUAAAUUAAAAAAUAAGAAAUUAAACAGGUCUUUACCAAAAUUCUACUCUGGAUGCCUCAGAUUUCUAACUACAACUCUUGGAGAGUAGCAUUUCUAUGCUUAUUCAUGUUGAUACUUUCAAAAAUCUGGACCUAGUUUCCAUUAUGCAGACAAGCCACAGAAGUGGACCAAUAUUUUAAGACUACAAUGUUUACUAAUGGAUGUCUGGCUAGAAACAGUGUUGGCAGAAUUUUGGCGGAGGCAUUUACUCUCACUAAUGAUGUGGAACAGGGCUGCGUAAUCAUGUCCACUUGUAUAAAGUCUACCCAAUACUUCAUAUUUUGAAAUAGAACCAGAAACAAGCACCUCCAAAAGUCCUGGGAUUUUCCUGGAAGAAACAUUAUAUCAGAACUGGUUUAGACCUUCUGCCCCAUGACUUCACAGGUAAAGUGGAUAUCGGAUGCUUUUGCAGAAUAUUUAGAGACAAAAAGACAGUAUGUCCUAUGUAUGGGCCAUCCGAGGCCAGGAAAAAUCUUUCAAACAUUUCCUUAAGAAAAUAUAUCAACUGUUUUUCCUGCACAUAUAUUAACAAAUCUUUAAAGUAAAAGGACACUCAAUCCACACCACUGCCCCUUCCUUCCAUGCCCCAGGAAAGCUAUACUCAGUUAUGCAUUAUCAAUUUCUUUCUUAGCUAUACUUGGGACUAAAAGCAUUAGCAGUUAUUCAUCAAUAAGGAAGAAGGACAAUGACAUUCAUUUAGACUGCUUGGACAUUGUUACUGUAUCACUCUUCUGGGAGAAGGUAAUUUCUGUCUAUUAAAAGAGACAGAUUCCAAACUAAGAUAUGUGGGAAAUCAUAAGGUAUUUAAUAGAAUUCAAGUAAUGCAUGUGGUCCUAAAAAAUUGUAAUUAAUAAGGAUCUAGCCAAGGAAAAUUAAUAACAGCAAACCUUUAAAAUGGAAAUCCUUAGAAUAAAGGAAUAGCUGUUAGAAUAUUAGUAUUACUCUGUAUUAAAAAUGUCAAGAUACUGUCAUUGGAUUUCUUUCCCUUCUACCUAGUUCUAGAUCAACAAAGAAUCUUCAUUAUUUUCUGAAAUUAGAUGCUGCUUCAAAGAUUUUAGAAGUAAACCAUGAAAUGAGUACACUGAAGAAGCAUUAUUAGCUUUUGCAGAUUACUAUUAAAUUACAUUUUUUAUCCCACAUUAAAACUUAAUCACAACGUUUGUCAAAUAUCUCAAAGAUAUGCUUUAGACAAAUACCUAGCAUUAUCUGAAACCAAAUCUGAUUGUUUCAAAUGGGUAGGAACUAGGCUGUGGGGUAGGAAAAAGUCCUAUAUUUCUCACCUCCUCUCUUCCUUCCUCCCUUCCUCCCUUCCUGCCUUCCUGCCUUCCCUAACUUCCUUCAUUCAUCCUUCCUUUUUCCACUAAUUUGACUUAUGGUGCUCCUGAUCUAUAUCAAGGCAACAUUUCAGUGGAAGGUAUACUGCAGGAAACAAUGUGCCGAAUGGUUGUCUGGUAGUUCAGACAAGGAGACACAUUUGCAGUGCAUGAUGCUGUCGUCACUGCAGCUUCCAUAUGUCCUCUCUCAAGAUGUCUGUGCCUCAGUCGUUGCAGAUGUCAUCAAAGAUUAUCCCUUUAAUUUUUAACGUUGUCACAGUUAAUAUAUACCCUUUACUUUUCAACACUGUCAAUGCUAAUUCAAACCUUUUAACUUUUAACAUUUUAAAGUUAAUAUAAACUCCAUUAAAGCUUCUCAGCUGAUCAAACACAGGAAUGAUCAGUAUGAACUAGUCAUAUUAGUAGUUUUUCCGGUAGAUAGUCAGUAGAUUUUUUUGGUGAUGCUAUUGUGAACAGUUAUAACGAUAGCUACCCUUACUUACCAUAUUAUUUCAUAUGCAAAGUAUAUCAUCCUAAACACCUCAUUUGAGACUCUGCUCACUGCUCAUCACUCCAGGCUUCUUCCCUAAUUGCCUGUGCCAUCUCAUAACUUCUCCAUGCUGCUGCCCCAUCCCUGGAGCUUUAUUCUUUACAUGUACAUCAACUCCUGUCUCCAUUCUUCCAAGUAUUGUUAACACAAGAUAUUAUCUGCAGUAGACUUUUUUAAGUGUGUUGGUUUCCUAGGGCUGGCAUAACAAAGGACCACAACCUGAGUGGCUUAACCACCAAGAGUUUAUUGUCUCAAAGUUCUGGAAACUAAAAAUCUGAAAUCAAGGUGUUGACAGCGUUAUUCCUUCUGAGAGCAGUGAGAGGAGGAUCUGUUGCAGAUCCUUGACUUCUAGAUGGCUGUGUUCUUCCUGUGUCUCUUAGCAUUGUCUUCUUUUUAUGCAUGUCUCUGUGUCCAAAUUGCCCCUCUUAUAAGGACACCAAUCAUGUUGGAUUUGGGCUCACCCUAACGAUGUAACGAUGUUACCAUUGUAACUUGGUUGCCUCUAUAAAGAUCCUAUCUCCAAAUAAGGUGACACACUGAGGUACUAGACGUUAGGACUCCUACAUAUCUGUUUUAGGACACAAUUCAUCCCAUAACACUAAGGUUUAAAGAUAACACAUGGGAAAUACAGCGUAGAAAAUAAAAACUUAAGCUACAUCUUAAGUGUCAUUGUCAUAGAAGCUAUUGACUAUGCCUGGUACAGAGUCUGAUUCUCUCUAUCCUUCUGUCCAAACUGCUACCAUAUUUCUGUGGCCAGUUCACCAUACUGGAUGGAAAUCUGAUUGUGCACUCUUACUCCCUGUGAUGGUUAAUUUUAUGUGUCAACUUGACUGGGCCGCAGGGUACUCAUAUAUUUGAUUAAACAUUCUGAGUGUUUCUGUGGGGGUAUUUUUGGAUGAUAUAAACAUUUAAAUCAGUAGAUAAAGCGUAUUGCUCCCCAUAAUGUGAGUGGGCCUCACCCAAUCAUUGAGAGUCUGACUAGAACCCAAGGCUAACCCUUCCCUAAAUAAGAAAGAAUUCUCCUACCUGACAACCUGCAAACUGGGACAUCAGCUCUUCCUAGUUCUACAGCAGCUUCCAGUGUGAGACUCAAACUGGGACACUGGCUCUACAGAAUGUACAUCCCUCCUCUCCCUACCCCCCCCCCAACAUGAACAUUAUUUGUUCUGUUUCUCUGGAGAACCCUAACUAAUACAGUCCCUAAGACCAGGUCCUACCUAAUAAAGAACAACCACAAAUACUGUAAGUAUCCCUUCAGGAUUGCAAUCUCUCUGCUAUAGAGCCAGCCAUUUAUCUUACUCAGCACAGUACCCAACUCCUCCAAUCUUAAGCCUUUAUAUAUAGGUUAUUCCCCUGGGUUUCAUUCAUCUUUAUGACUAAAAAAUGUUCCCCCAUUGAACUCUCCAAGAGCCUGCCCCAAAGACAAAAUCCAGCUCUCAAUCUUAGUGAGACUGAGAAAUACUGAAGUCCAAACUCAGAGCACUCUGCUAUAUGCACAGAACUUCUCAUAUAUUCUUUGCAUACAUCUCAAAUCACUGAGGACUUCUCAAGUUCUCCUCAUCUAAUUCCAUCUAAGGCUUUUUAUGCAACUAUACAAUUUCUUCUAUAGCUUAAUAUUGCAUGUGUGUGGCUUGGUAAAAAAAAUUAGCCUUGUUUAAUUAAGACUCAGCACAUAUCCUCCAAAGUUUAAACAAAUGAGAGCUGAACCAAAUCAGACUCUUCAAAGAGUGUUUCUAGGUUAGAAAGGGCCACACUACUUCCCCUGACUCUGUGCUUGACUUUCAUCUUUACUUUGGGUUUCUGUUUUCCAGAUUCUCUAUGUCACCACAUCACCUGGUCAUGCCUCACCCAAAGCUGUGUGGUUCCCCUUUAAAAUUUUCAAUGUGGACAAAAAUGUUUUCCCUUGGCAUAACUAAGACAGGCUGGUAUUUUCAAGAACAGCUUUACUAAACAUGAGGGAAGCAGAAAACAAAUAAUUACAUAAAACAUACACCAUAUAAAAAUAGCCAAGUUUCCAACUGCAGGUUUCUGUUUCUAAAAAUUCUAUUAGAAGUAGGAAAGUUUUACUGGGCCUCAAUCUCAUUUACCCCUUAGUCAACCACAUCCCUUAUUUUGCUGUAUCCUGUCUGGACUCCUUCUCUCCUACCUUCAACACUUCAUCUAUCCCUGAACCCUAUAAUCUUGAGCUGCUUGCUUGGUUUUCUUAACCCGUAUCUCAAAGAAAAAAAUACCCAGUAACUUACUUUUAAAACUAUCAUUCUCCUGGGGCGCCUGGGUGGCUCAGUCGGUUGAGCGUCCGACUUCAGCUCAGGUCAUGAUCUCGCAGUUUGUGGGUUCGAGCCCUGCAUCGGGCUCAGUGCUGACAGCUCAGAGCCUGGAGCCUGCUUCGGAUUCUGUGUCUCCUUCUCUCUCUGCCCCUCCCCCACUUGUGCUCUAUCUCUCUCUGUCUCUCAAAAAUAAAUAAAUGUAUAAAAAAAAUUUUAAACUAUCAUUCUCCUAAUGAAAUAUCCUGGACUCCCAAAGACCUGCCAAAAUGCCUGCUUACAAGAGAUUUUCAAGUUUUAAUGUUGAAGAUUCACAGGGUCUCAAACAUUAACUCUUCUCAAUAUUGAUAUUAAAUCAGCAUUUUAAAAAAAGUACAUUCUAGGAAAUAGUUCCUGGGAUAAUGAAUAUUCUUGACAAUAGCAGAUAGCAUUCUGAGCUCAAAUAAAUUUGAAGAAUGUUGGGUUAAACUAAGUUUCAGUUUUCUCCAAUACAUAAUUUCUCAAAUCAUUUCAUGCAGUCAGCCAAUUCUUUUUGUGUGUGUGUGUGUCUUUUUUUAUUUUUUAAAUUUACAUUCAAGUUAGUUAGCAUAUAGUGCAACAAUGAUUUCAGGAGUAGAUUCCUUAAUGCCCCUUACCCAUUUAGCCCACCCUGCCUCCCACAAUUCCUCUAGUAUCCUCUGUUUGUUCUCCAUAUUUAAGUCUUUUAUGUUUUUGCCCCCCUCCCUGUUUUUAUAUUUUUUUUGCUUCCCUUCCCUUAUGUUCAUCUGUUUUAUAUCUUAAAGUCCUCAUAUAAGUGAAGUCACAUGAUAUUUGUCUUUCUCUGACUGACUAAUUUCACUUAGCAUAAUACCCUCUAGUUCCAUCCACGUAGUUGCAAAUGGCAAGAUUUCAUUCUUUUUGAUUGCUGAGUAAUACUCCAUUGUAUAGAUAUACCACAUCUUUUUUAUCCAUUCAUCCAUCAAUGGACAUUUGGGCUCUUUCCAUACUUUGGUUAUUGUUGAUAGUGCUGCUAUGAACAUGAGGGUGCAUGUGCCCCUUCGAAAUAGAAUACCUGUAUCCGUUGGAUAAAUACCUAGUAGUGCAAUUGCUAGGUCAUAGGGUAGUUCUAUUUUUAAUUUUUUGAGGAACCUCCAUACUGUUUUCCAGAGUGGCUGGAUAUCCAGAUAUCCAGAGUGGAUAUCUUCUUUGGAGAAGUGUCUAUUCAUGUCUUGUGCCCAUUUCUUCACUAGUUUAUUUGUUUUUUGGGUGUUGAGUUUGAUAAUUUCUUUAUAGAUUUUGGAUACUAACCCUUUAUCUGAUAUGUCGUUUGCAAAUAUCUUCUCCCAUUCUGUCGGUUGCCUUUUAGUUUUGUGGAUUGUUUUUUGUUUUCGUUUUUGUUUUUGUUUUUUGGGUUUUUUUUUUUUUUCUGUGCAGAAGCUUUUUAUUUUGAUGAGGUCCCAGUAUUCAUUUUUGUUUUUGUUUCUCUUGCCUCUGGAGACAUGUUGAGUAAGAAGUUGCUGCGGCCAAGGUCAGAGAGGUUUUUGCCUGCUUUCUCCUCAAGGAUUUUGAUGGCUUCCUGUCUUACAUUGAGGUCUUUCAUCCAUUUUGAGGUUAUUUUUGUGUUUGGUGUAAGAAAGUGGUCCAGGUUCAUUUUUCUACAUGUCACAGUCAGCCAAUUCUUCAUGAGCACCUAUUAUGUGCCAGGCACUGAUCCAGGCACUGAGAAAAUACUAAUGAAGAAUGAGCAGAACGUAUAAAAUCCUGGCCCUGCCUUCAUAGAAUUUACCUUCUAGGUAGGGUUCACCAAGAAAAGUGAAUGAACAGGCAAGCAAAUAAGAUUUUCAAAUAAUGGUAAGGACUCUGAAGACAUUAGGGGGUGAUAUUAUAGGGAAGAGCUGGAAGUGGGGAAACCCAGCAGGCAGAGGGAACAAUGAGUCCACAAGACUCAAGGCAAGAGAAAGUUCGGCAUAUUGGAGGAAGAAAAAGAGCCUCUGUGGCUGGAACUGAGAAACUGUAUGGGAAACUGUAUGCAUGUGAGAAGGUAUGAUCUUACAGGCCAUGGUAAGAAGGAAGAUUUGAUCAUUGGUGCUAUGGAAAGCAAGAUGAAGGGUCUUAAGCCUUAGCACACUGUCAUAAUACAAUUUGAAAAAGAAAUCUCCUUGGCUGUUGCAUAGCGAAUGGAAUUUAAAGGCCAAGAUUACAAGUGGAGACCAAUUAGGAGCCUCUCACAGUAGUUCACCUGGGAGACGAUGAUGGGGUUGGCAGAGCAGAUAGAUGUGGAUGGCUUCAGCAUGUUUUUCAGGAGUGGAGACAACAGCACUUCCUGAUGGGUUAAUGUGGGAAAUUGGAGACCAGAGAGAAGACAGUGAUAACUUCUAGUUUUGGGGCUUGGGCAGUUAACUACAUGGUGGUAUUAUUGACAGAGCAGGGAGAGACUAGGGAAGCAAAGGCUUACAGGGGUGAAGGAAAUCAAGAGAUUGUUUUAUCCACAUUAAGUUCAAGAUACCAAUUACACAUAUAAGAAGCGCUAUCAAGUAGACAUAUCUUACAUAUCUAUGAGUCUGGAGCUUAGGAGAAACGUUUGUGAUAUAAAUUGGGAAAUCACUGGCAUAGAGAUGGUAUUUAAAGUCAUGGAACUGGAGAGAUCACCUAGGGAGAAUGUAGGGAUUCUAAGGCCCAAAGCCAAGCCCUGAGGCACUUUGAAUUGAGAAAUCUGGUGUAGAGGAAGAGCUGCAAAGAAGACUUUUAACACAUUCAUGUACAUUAAUGACUCUUUAAGAAGUGAUAACAGAAGUCAGCAUUUCUCAAACUUACUUGAUCUUGGAAACUUUUGUCACAUGGCAUCUCACAGGGAUAGGGUCCCAAGGAAAAUAUUUUGGGAAACAUUGUUCAUACCCUUCUAGCUGCUAAUAUAUUAACUUCUAAGGUGACAUAGGCAAGUCUUUUCCCUCUAAGUGGAGAGGUAUUUCAAUGAAAGCCUAUCAGUUGCUAAGCAAAACACUCCCCUGAUGAUCUAGGCCAAAAAAUGUACCUGCGGGAAACACACAUGAGCCAAAUGCAGUAAAGAAGAAGGAAGGCUGUUGCAUCAUUGCUUUACUGAGCCAAACCUCACAUGCUGGCCAUUUUUGCCUUGUUACAUUAAUAAUAGUUAUUUUGGUGGAAGAGUGAGAUUGAAGGUCUGAGGAGAGGCCCAGGAUUAAAUGCUCUUUUUUUUGGUGAAUUAUGUAACUUUUUUCAGAAGGCUAGCAUUUGGGUGUUUCUACCUGUAUACACUAUACCAGAGUAUCUUUUGAUGCUCUGGAAAGAGUUAAUUUAGAUAAAGAUUUUUCUCUAUUUUCUAGAAAGUUAGUUGUUGUUUUUUUUGUUUUUUUUUUUGUUUUUGUUUUUUUGUUAUAAACAACAGAAACUCACUCAUGCAUAUUAUUGGGAUCUAAGGCAGCCCUAAGGACAGGUUUCUCUCUAGGACCCCUUUUUCCCUCCUCUUCUCUCUCUUCUUUCUCUGCCCCACCCACCCAUAGGCCAGAGGCUGUCUGGUCUUUCACAGUACCUUUGAGACUUCUUGCUUUAUAGGUAUGCACUAUGAAAUCAUAAUAAAAUCCUCUACAUGUGUAUAGCACAGUCUAAGUAGACCCACAUGUUAUGGACUGAAUGUUUGUGUCCCUGUAAAAUUCAUAUGUGAAAUCCUUGAUCUUUGUGAGGUGGGGCAGUAACUGGGAGUCAAUUAAGUCUUAAGCAUGGAGCCCUUGUGAAUGAGAUUAGUACCCUUACAAGAAGAAACACAAGAACAAACUGAUGGUCAUCAGAGGGGAGCAGGGUGGGGGAAUGAACAAAAUGGAUGAAAAGGAGUGGGAGAUACAGGCUUCCAGUUAUGGAAUGAGCAACUCAUGGCAAUAAAAGGUACAGCAUAGGGAAUGUAGUCAAUGGUAUUAUAAUUCCUUUGUAUGGUGACAGAUGGUAGCUACACUUGCAGUGAGCAUAGCAUAAUGUAUAAACUUGUUAAAUCACUAUGUUGUAUACCUGAAACUAAUGUAACAUUAUGUGUCAACUAUAUUCAAAUUAAAAAAAGAAAAAAAAAACCAAGAAGCAAAGUAAAAAGAGAGAUGAUCUCUCUCUCUCUCUUUCAGCUGUGUGAGGAUACAAGAAGAAAACAGUCAUUUGCAAACAGGAAGAGUUCCCUCACCGGACACUAGAUCGGGCCUUGAUCUUGGACUUCUAGUCUCCAGGACAGUGAGAAAUAAAUGUUUGUUGUUUAAGCCACCCAGUCAGUGAUAACACCCUAAACUAAGAGAACACAGUCUUGAAGGUUUGCUUUUAAAAUGAGGAAACCAAGGCCUAGGGAGGAGAGACAAAACACAGUGUGGAAGGACUCCUAGAUGGCUUUGAUAAACCUAAAUUGUACUCUUGUGUGACUGUAGGCAAGUUUGUGACUAGGCCUCAAAUUCCUCUUCUGCAAAGGGAGAAGACUGAGAAGCGGUAAGUGAUUUUCAAGAUGCGUUUUGAGGCAUUUACAGUCUGCUUUUAUGAUUUUGAGAUGGAGUGUCUUGGCUGAAGUCAUACAGUGUUCUAUCACCUGGCCCAAUGUUUUGUUUUAUGACACCACACUGAGUUUCCAUUAAAAAAUUUUUUUAUGUGAACUAAUUUUUCUUAUGUAUUUGUAUUGCUAUGAAAAUACUACCA
rnacentral:lncRNA from 1 species